rnacentral:lncRNA from 1 species
AAAGCUCUCCACACUCAUCAUUUCCCUCAAAACUAGUUAUUAAUCCUCUUUGACAAAACCAUGGGCAACAUUUUCUCCAUUUCAAUCUCCGUUGACCACCUUAUCUCUAGUUGCUGGAAUCGCACUACUGAACAUGCAAAUUACCUGUGCAAACUCCCAGAAAAUCUGGUAGCUCUGGGAACUGCUUGUGAAAGAUUGAGGGAGUUCAGGAACGAUGUGAUGAGGAGGGUGGAUAUCGCUGAGAGGGAACAAAUGCAGCGGCUCGACCAAGUACAAGGGUGGCUUUCAAGGGUUGAAACUCUGGAAACUCAAGUCACUCAACUGAUUGGAGAUGGCACCGAGGAGGUUGAGAAGAAAUGUAUGGGUGGUUGCUGUCCUAGGAAUUGCAGGACCAGAUACAAGUUGGGGAAGAGAGUAGCUAGAAAGUUGAAAGAAGUGGACAUUCUAAUGAGCCAAAGACCUUCGGAUGCGGUGGCUGAGAGGUUACCUUCACCUCGCCUAGGUGAAAGGCCUAAUCAAGCAACUGUCGGCAUGAAUUUCAGAAUUGGUAAGGUUUGGAGCAGCCUUCAUCAAGAACAAGUGGGAAUUAUCGGCCUAUAUGGAUUAGGAGGAGUUGGGAAAACCACCCUCUUAACCCAAAUCAAUAAUGCUUUUACCAAAAGAACAGAUGAUUUUGAUUUUGUGAUCUGGUCAACAGUUUCCAAAAAUGUAAACCUUGAAAACAUUCAGGACGACAUCUGGAAGACGAUAGGGUUUUGUGAUGAUAAAUGGAAAAGCAAAAGUCGAGAUGAGAAAGCUAAGAGCAUCUGGAGAGUCCUGAGCGAAAAGAGGUUCGUGCUGUUGCUAGAUGAUUUAUGGGAGUGGUUGGAUUUAUCAGACGUCGGAGUCCCAUUCCAAAAUAAGAAAAAUAAGAUAGUAUUCACCACUCGAUCAGAAGAGGUGUGCGCUCAAAUGGAAGCGGAUAAGAAGAUCAAAGUGGAAUGCCUAACAUGGACAGAAUCCUGGGAAUUGUUUCGAAUGAAGCUUGGAGAAGACACUCUCGAUUUCCAUCCUGAGAUACCGGAGCUCGCUCAAGCCGUCGCACAAGAGUGUUGUGGUUUGCCACUUGUGCUAACUACCAUCGGCAGGGCCAUGGCUUGUAAGAAGACGCCGCAGGAAUGGAAAUAUGCAUUUAAAGUGUUACAAAGCUCUGCCUCAAAAUUUCCAGGUAUGAGUGACAGAGUGUUCCCUCUUUUAAAAUACAGUUAUGAUUGCUUACCCACCGAAGUUGUCAGAUCUUGCUUCUUGUAUUGUUCUCUAUUUCCAGAAGAUUAUCAGAUACCAAAAAUAGCUAUGAUAAAGCGUUGGUUUUGUGAAGGCCUUUUAGACGAAUUUGAUGACAUGAAGGGAGCAGAAAACCAGGGUUACAACAUUAUUGGCACUCUGAUUCAUGCAUGUCUAUUAGAAGAAGGUGAUGUUGAUUAUGUAGUAAAACUGCAUGAUGUAAUCCGUGAUAUGGCAUUGUGGAUAGCUUGUGAAACAGGGAAGGAGCAGGACAAGUUCUUGGUGCAGGCCUCCAGUGGGUUAACUGAAGCUCCUGAAGUUGCUAGAUGGAUGGGACCAAAAAGGAUUUCACUUAUCGGUAACCAAAUUGAGAAACUAACAGGGUCUCCUAAUUGCCCCAAUCUCUCAACUUUGUUUCUUCAGGAUAAUAGUUUGAAGAUGAUCACUGAUAGUUUCUUCCAGUUUAUGCCAAAUCUAAGAGUUUUAGACUUGUCAAGGAAUGCUAUGACUGAAUUACCACAGGGAAUCUCUAAUUUGGUUUCAUUACAGUAUCUCAACCUAUCACAAACUAACAUUAAAGAGUUGCCAAUUGAGUUGAAGAACCUGGGUAAAUUGAAAUUUUUGUUGUUGCAUCGCAUGAGACUUUCUUCAAUUCCAGAGCAGUUGAUAUCAAGUCUUUCAAUGUUGCAAGUGAUUGAUAUGUUCAACUGUGGAAUUUGUGAUGGUGAUGAAGCCUUGGUUGAGGAAUUGGAGUCCUUAAAGUACUUGCAUGAUUUAGGUGUCACUAUAACAAGUGCCUCUGCUUUCAAAAGGCUUCUAAGCUCUGACAAGCUAAAAAGUUGCAUUUCCGGUGUAUGCCUCGAGAAUUUCAAUGGUUCAAGCUCUCUCAAUUUAACAUCUCUCUGCAAUGUAAAGCGUCUCCGUAACCUCUUUAUCUCAAACUGUGGCUCGUCGGAAGAUUUGGAGAUCGAUUGGGCUUGGGAAGGAAAGGAAACAACAGAAUCUAAUUACCUUAACUCAAAGGUCAGUUCCCACAGCAGUUUCCACAACCUUUCGUGGCUAAGAGUCAAAAGGUGUUCGAGGUUGAAGGAUCUAACAUGGCUUGUUUUUGCUCCAAACCUUAAAGUUCUUUUAAUAACUAGUUGUGAUCAAAUGCAAGAAAUAAUAGGUACCGGUAAAUGUGGUGAAUCUACAGAGAAUGGCGAAAACCUGAGUCCAUUUGUCAAACUCCAAGUACUUACGUUAGAAGAUCUACCACAAUUGAAGAGCAUAUUUUGGAAAGCCCUGCCAUUUAUCUACUUAAAUACAAUCUAUGUAGAUAGUUGUCCACUUCUAAAGAAGCUGCCACUCGACGCCAACAGUGCCAAGGAACAUCGGAUUGUCAUUUCCGGACAAACCGAGUGGUUUAAUGAACUAGACUGGGAGAAUGAGGCAACUCACAACGCUUUUCUUCCAUGUUUCGUACCUAUUGAAGAAUAAGGGCCUGCAGCAAUCUCAGAGAGGCUACAAUGCGAUUCUCGGUGAGACCCUUUUCACAAUUAACUAUCAUUUGAUCCUGAAUAGGUAUUGGUCCAAAUAAAGCAUUCAAUUAUAGCAUCUUUUCAUGGUCGUAUACCUCCCACGUACUGCUGAUACACUUAAAAAAAUGCUAUUCCAUUUCAAACAUGUAAGGCAAUUGAUUGCGGGUUUACAAGGAGUCAUCUUGUUAUUGGAAUUCAAAAUAUACAACUUUUAUGGUUAUGUUUUCUUCUUAAAAAGUAUUAAUAAAAGAAAAUAAAUAUUAAUGAAAAUGAUUUUUUCAUAUUAUUAUAUUAUCAAAAAUAUAAAAGAAAAUAAAAUUAGUUUGAAAUUUACAUAUUUUUUAAAUUGUUUAAUUUUUAUAUUGAAGAGUUAAAAUAAAUAAAACAAGUUAGAAAUAGCAUAUAAAAGUAAUCUAUUAAUUUUAAAUUUAUUUUUUAAUUUUUUUCACUUUUUUUUCCUUGUAUCUUUCCUUUCUAUUUUCUUUUCAUUACAAUUUUUCUCAAAUUUUCCAAGAACCAAACAUAACCUACAUAUAAUGAUCAAAUAUAAUCUUACAAACCAACCCAUAUAAAAAUUUAAGUCCAUUCUUGUGGCUUUUCUAAUUUGGUUUAAUAAGUCAAUAGUAUAUAUUCUUAUACAAUCUUAUUUUGUUUAGUUGCAGAAUAUAACCUCAUAUGCCAUAAAUGCUUCCGCAAUCUUCAGUUAAUGAGAAUCCAUUGUUUUCCAAGGUGAAGGAUAUGGAUGGCUUAAUUUUCAUGCCAACUUUUCAGUAUGUUGAUGACAUUGUAGGCUACCGAAAUGGAACAUAUAAUUGCUUAUAUAUGUGAGGUAAACAAUUGGUUUAUGUAUGUUGUUUCAUAGUGUUUGUGUGCAUAUGUUGUUUCUCUUUGAAUUGCAAUAUUACAUUUUUUGUAUUCUAAGGAUUGUGAGAUGCAUUUUAUGAUUUGUGUAAAAAUUUUGAGUUGGAUGGCUUUCCUUAAUUGCUUUACUUCAAUUGAAGAGCAUGUACAUAAUAUCUUUGAUUGGAAACAAUCUAAUGUAUAAUUUAAAAAAAUAAUCAUAUUUUCAAAUAGAAAAGAUAGAUGAGUUAGGGUACUCCUAGAUCAACUAGGAAUUGUAUCUUUGUUUAUGGAGAAGCAAGCAUUCUUGAGAAAAAAAAUCAAGUCCCUCUUUGUACAAAAAUUUUAGGGGAGAACUUGCCCAAGUCAUGGGUAGACCAUAAUUGGGGCACCUUAGCUAAGGGUCCCAUUUGGUUCCCUAUCUGUGUUUAUCAAAUGUGCCUUUUCAUAAUUGUAAUGGGAAUGGAGUGUGGGAUUUAUAUAACAUUAAAGCAUGUAUUCCUUAAUUUUGCAAUAUGUUAAAGAGGAUGAAACAUUUUUUAUUUGUUGCAAUUCAAGAGCAUGUACUAAAAUGCUCUCUCCAUGUGUUCAAAAUAGAAGAACUCAUUUAUCUUAUGCCCUAUAAAACUUUUUUCAAAAUUUUGAGAAAGUGAAAAAUUUUCACUUCUUGAAAUUUUUAAAUUUUUUUUAUAAAGUGUUUUCAAGCAUAUAAGGUAUUUACUUGUUUUUGUAUAAUAAUUCUUGUAUUUUAUAUAAGACUUCCUAUUUUAAAAAUAAAAAAUAGAAUAUGUAUCCAACCAAGUGAUUCUCUUAACAAAAGUACUAUAAAUAAAAAUACUUUAACGAGAGUCACUCCCAAACAUGUUCUAAGUUAUAUUUUCUAAUGGACUAGCUUUUCUAUCAAAAAAGUUAUUGAGUAGACAAUAAUUUAUAAAAUGCAAAACAUUUUUACUCUAUGGUAAUUUUUAUUUAUCUUUUUCUGUUUAAUAUCCACCUCUCAAUAUCUUGGUAUUUUAAACGAAGGAUAUAAUUUUAUUAGUUGUGCACAUGACAUUAUCUUAUAUAUCCAUGUAAGGUUUUUUCUAAAAUAAGUAAUUAAAAAUUUCAUUAUUAAAAAAAAUAGAAUCAAUAAUAUCUUAUUUUUAUAUAAUACCAAAAUUAACAAAUUUCUUACCAUUUAUGGUUCAUAUAACAAGAAAUAAAUAAGUAAAUGUGUGAAACUAAUAAAAAUAAUUGUUAAUUUAUGGUAAUUAUUUGGAAUAUAUUAAUAUUUAACCGAUGGAGCAUUAGCUUAGCUUAGUUAGAUCAUUUUACCCAACAUAAGUUUUUUAUUUAUUAUUUUAACAUACUAUCAAAUCACUUUUUUUUUUGUUUAUAUUCAAAUAGUAAGUUAUUCUAUUUUAAACUAUUUCUAAUGUAACCACUAUUUAAAAACACUUUUAAAAAUCUCAAAAAAUAACUUGAGGUGAUUUGUAAACAAUCACUUGAUAUGAUUUUCUUAAAAAUCAUUUUUUAAUAAAAUAAUAUGUUACAAAAAAAAAAAUACUAUCAAAACAUUUUUUUUAAUUUAUAUUUAUAGUUAUGGAUAUGCUUCCUAUCUAUAUACAAAAUAUAAGAACUCUAAUGUAUAAAACAAAAUUUUUAUCUUGUGUCUUUAAAACUUUCUUCACAAUUUUGAAAAUUUUGAGAAAGAUAAUUUUUUUAAUCCUCAAAUUUUAAAAAGUAUUUUCAAGUAUAUGAGGUAUUUAUUUUUUUUCUAAGAAUUUAUAUAUUUUAUAUGAGACUUUCUAUUUUAAAAACAAAGAUGGGAAAUGUAUACAUACAUAUAAGUAAUUCUCUUUAAAUAUAUUUAUAAUGAAAUCAUAACUAACAAAAGUAUUGCAAAUAAAAAUACCUUAAGUACAAUUACUCCCAAGUGAGUUCAAAGUUAUAAGAAAUAUUUUUGUCAAUAUUUCAGAUCACCAAAAGAAACUAUAAAGGAUUGCAAUAUUACGAAAAAAUUAAAAAUGAUUUUAGUUUAAGCUCUUCAUUUGCAAUCUUGCAAUCUCAUGCCCUAAAUGUUCCAAUUCAUCAAUUUCAUUGGUAAAAUUUUAUUAAAAUUAAUGAUUAUUAAAUAAAAUAAAUUUAAAACCUUUUCCAAAACCAUAUUGUCGAUCCGAGAAUGCCAUGAACAACAUUGUUGAGUAUGAGGCUUGUAUCUUGGGAUUAGAGACAGCCCUCGAGCUCGGUAUUAGACAGAUGGAGGUGUUUGGUGACUCCAAUCUGGUGUUGAGACAGAUUCAGGGUGAGUGGAAGACUAGAGAUGGGAAACUUAGACCUUAUCACGCAUAUUUGGAGCUACUGGUCGCGAGAUUCGAGGAUUUGAGAUACACACAUCUGCCUAGAGCGCGGAACCUGUUUGUUGAUGCCUUAGCUACUCUAGCUUCCAUGAUUGACAUUCCUGCUGACGCCACUGUUCGUCCAUUAUUGAUCGAGUCGAGAUCUGCUUCUGCUUACUGUUGUCUGAUCGAUGAUGUAGAGUCAGAUGAUGGUUUGCCAUGGUAUCACGACACAUAUCACUUUUUGAGGCUUGGCGUAUAUCCUAAGGCCACUACGACCAAGGAUAGGAGAGCAUUGAGACAGUUAGCCGCCCGAUUCGUGAUUUGCGGCGAGACACUAUAUAGACGAUCACCUGAUGGGAUGCUGCUAUUGUGUUUGGACCACGCCUCUGUCGAUAGAGUGAUGCGAGAGGUUCAUGCGGGAGUAUGCGGACCACAUAUGGGAGGACAUAUGUUGGCCUGUAAGAUCAUGAGGACCGGCUACUUCUGGUUGACCAUGGAGACGGACUGCUGCCAGUUCGUUCAGAGAUGUCCCGAGUGUCAGAUACAUGGAGAUCUCAUUCACGUGCCGCCCUCCGAGUUGCAUGCACUGACUUCACCAUGGCCAUUUUCAGUGUGGGGUAUCGACAUCAUCGGGAAGAUUUCGCCGAAAUCUUCCAGUGGUCAUGAGUUUAUCCUUGUCGCCAUUGAUUACUUCACCAAGUGGGUGGAGGCCGCUUCGUAUGCGAGAUUGACAUCGUCUGGAGUUGCUAGUUUCAUCAGAUCACACAUUAUUUGUCGCUAUGGAGUCCCUCAUGAGUUGAUUUCGGAUAGAGGGGUACACUUUAGGGCAGAGGUUGACACUUUGGUGCAGCAAUAUAGCAUCCGACAUCAUAGGUCGUCUGCGUACAGGCCGCAAACGAACGGGGCAGUGGAGUUGCCAUUUUGUGGACCCCGCAUUUCGGCUCAUGCGUUUCCCACUCGAUGACGAGCUCAAUUUUUCAAAUAAAAUCGAGCUCGUCAUCGAGUGGGAAACUCAUGAGCCGAAAUGCGGGGUCCACACAUAUCCAUUUAAAACAUUUUCAUAUCAGGGAUCUCUAGUUUUGCCUCAUGCUUCUCUUUAGAAUUUUAUUUUUAUUUUUUCAACAUGUUUACUUAAAGUUCCAAAUCCAAUAAUGGUGAGAAAAUAUUCAAUUCUAAAAACCAUUUCCAUAUUCAUAUUUUCAUAUCUGUUUUAUCCUUUUAAAUAAAUAAUCCUAGGCUUUGGCAUCAAUUAAUUAAUCUAUGUUUUGCCCAAUUACCAAGUUGAUUGCAAAAAUAUGCUACACUCAUAAGUCUAAAAUAUGCUUUUGGUUUUUCAGCUUUCUAUUUCACUCCAAUUUUGCCAUCUCAAGUUUCAAAUAUAUAGGUGAAAGAAAAAAAAAAUGCAUAAUUUAGUGUUAGAUUGGAAAUAUAUUUUUUCAAUAGUGUUAACUUUUAUAUAAAAUAUUAUAACUUUUAAAAAUUUACGUUUAAAAGCUAAUAAUUUUUAAAAACUACUAAAAAAAUUUGAGAUAUUAAAAGGUUUUACUUCUCUAAUUUUAAAAUUUUGAAAAUUAAUUUUUCAAGAUAUAAUUUAAAACUUUGUCUAGAUAGAUUUCCUUUUAAAAAAAAUAAUAAAUAGUAAUAACUUCUAAAUAAAAUAUAAAACAUUUUAGAAGUUUUCAUUGAAAAUCUUAUGAUUUUUAAAAAAACCAUUUAAAAGAAUUGAGAUAUUAAAAUGUUUUACUUUCUCAAAUUUAAAAAUCUUUUAGAGCCUAUUUGGCCAUGCUAAUGCUCAUUUUUAAAAACUGUCUUGACUUGAAAUUUUUUUUUUUUUGUUUUUUAGUGUUUUAUAAAAAUAUGGGUGUUUGACAAGCUGUUUUUGAAAUCAAUUUUUAAAAAUAAAAAAUAAAGAACUUGUUUGGAUAAUUUUUUUAAAAUUUUUCAAAAGCAUUAUAAAUUCAAUUUAUAUAAUAUAAAUUUAAUUUAAUUUAUAUUAUAUAAAUAUGAUGAUUUUAUAUUUAAAAAAAAACCAUUUAAAAGAAUUGAGAUAUUAAAAAGUUUUACUUUCUCAAAUUUAAAAAUCUUUUAGAGCCUAUUUGGCCAUGUUAAUGCUCAUUAUUUAAAACCGUCUUAACUUGAAAAAAAAAAUUGUUUUUUAGUGUUUUAUAAAAAUAUGGGUGUUUAACAAGUUGUUUUUUAAAAAUAAAAAACUUGUUUGGAUAAUUUGUUUUUAUUAUUUUAUUUUUUUCAAAAACAUUAUAUAUUCAAUUUAUAUAAUAUAAAUUUAUUUUAAUUUAAGUCUUACUUAAAUGAAAAUAUUUCUUAAUUACAAAUAAAUUUAAAAAUAAAUAGUUUUUAGGAAAAUAUGAAUAGUAAUGAUACAAUAAAAUUAUUAAUUGUAUUUUUUUUAUAUAAAAAAGAUACUAUUUUAGUCUAUGCUAGAAACAUAAGGAUAUUAAUAUCUUAUUUAUUAUCAUUUUUUAUUAAAAAUGAAUUAUAAUAGUUUAAAAAUAAUAAUUAUUAAUAAUAUUUUAUUUUAAAUAAAUAAUGAAUAAAGUUUUAACAUGUAUAUGAAUCAAUUUUUUCAUUCUAUGAACACAUAUAGAAUGAACUUUCUGAUAUAAUAUACCUAAUUAUGAAUAUAAUAUUCUAAAACCUCCAUCGCCUCAUUUGAGGUUUUGAACUUUCUGAUAAAUUCGAAUCAACAACAAUAGAAUUGCUCUUUCAAUAUCAAAGGCUCCUUUUGGCGUCAAUAAACCGCCAGUUAGUUAUUGAAACAACACGUUCAUACACAUAUCUAAGUCUUAUUGGAAUGGAAUACAAGUUACCUUCAAGUAAGGUUUUUGCUUACACAUUUACACAUUUACACAUUUUCUAUCUCAAACUGUUAGUGAAAGAUACAGGGCAAACCUACAUUCAAAUGAUCUGAGCCUGUCAUGUACAAUCCAAGCUCAAAAGUCAAGCUUAAGUUAUAAUUCACACGAAAGAGCUGGUCAGCGCACCAAGCCCAAGAACAAUGAUAAGACUGCCAUUUACCAACCUGACAUAAGCUUGAUAUCUCACAUGGAGAACUUACAAGGUGGGUAAGCAUUUGUUAAUUGACACCAAUCAAUCCUGAUACAGAAGAUGGACAUCUCACAUGAAGGGCAUAAGGUGAACCCCUAGGAUCUUGUUGAGCAAAUUGGACUACACUCCAAUCAAGAGCUAAGAUCUUACUAUACCAAUUCAGGUUAUCCUGAUCACGUGUUAGUGGAGGAAAUGUUGUUGAUUUCCAUUUACAUAACUUUGAUUUAGUAGGUUUGGUCUAAUUGGGGUGUAAUAUACGUUAUACAACGGGGAAAGGGAGUGCGAUGAGGUAGUAAAAACAGGACACAACUUGUGAAAAAGGGUCCAAAGUGGAACCCCUUUUUAAGGCUUUUAAUCCUCUGCAGCUUUGCUGAAAUACUAUAACCCAGAUUACUGGUACACAAGCGUUACCAAAAACCAUCAUUUCUGGUGGAUUAUUCCUACCCUUCAUUGAGGGAAGUCUAACCCUGCAGACAAAUACAACCUAGAUGGCUGAUUUUCUAGCUUCCAUUAAUGGGGAGAUUUUCUCUCAACAUUCACUGACCAUUCUAAGUGGGUAAAAAUUAGAAGUUAAGAGACAUCCUACAUGAUGAAUUAGUCAUGCAGAACAUAAGUCCAGGGAUAUUAUCAAGUACUUUAGGGUCCUUUAGGUCAUGGAAACUACUCGAGAAAGGAAAAAAGAAAAAAGAAAAAAUUAUGAAGGAACAUGUAUUCUCUUGCUUGGUUUGCCAAGGAAAAUUUUGCUUUCCCUUUUUCAUCCUUAUUUUCUUAUUGUCAUACUUCCCCUCAAACUUUUCAUGAUCUAAACAGAAGUUUGACUUAUUUAAGAAGCUACCUGACAAGUAUUUCCUUUCCACAAUUGUUUAUUCAACCAAUGAGGCAUUUUUUCCAUUACUCAAUUCUCAAUCUAGUUUCUUUUACACUAACCCUCAAGAAACAAAAUAACACAUAAGCGGGGCUUAUUUUUCAAUAUAAAAAUUCUCUACCAAGAUAUCAGACGUCUAUGAAUUGAAAAUUUAGAACAAUAUUUUCCAAAUCACCCGUGGGGAUCCAUGAUAAGAUAAAUUAGUUACAUUCUCAUGCUUCUUUACGAACCUUUUUCAACAGACUGAGCCCAGUUAAUGCUUGAUCUGGCCAAAGCAUCCAUCAGAUCAAUACAUUUCCUAAGCAGAGGAUCAUCCCGAGGCAAAAGAUCACGCAUGUCAUCAGAGCCAAGGAUGACAGUGUUCAUAGCCCUCGCCAGAAGAACUUGCAUUGCAAUUCUUAGCAGAUUCCUUGCCACUUCCAUGUCCUUUCGAUUUAAAGAUUCAAUUGCAGAAAUUACAGUGUGCUCCAUUGUUGCUUCAUCUGGAACAACAACCUCAAACCCCUGCAUACAUAGAAUUUAGAUUGGAAGGAAUCAAUGUAUUUACGGAUGACAGAAAUGAAAACCGUGCUAAAAGGUAUAUAGUGAGUUGAUGUGGUAACUAAAACUAAAACAGGUUGCUUUUUUCUCUCAAUUAAAAGCAUCUUUCAGAACUUCAGAACUCCCAUAGAUUCAUAUGGAACAUCAUUAUAUAUAUAUAUGUAUAUAAGCAUGCACUUCAAGGCAGUGUAUGUGAAACACGAUCAGGAGUGUGAGACUGUAAUGACACACGGAAUUCCAAAUCCUAUCAUUAUAUAAUAAUAUAAUAUAUUAAUUUCAUCAUUAUUUUAUCCAUCAUGUGUAGGUGGGACCCAGCUCUGCCCAAAACUGCAAUCCUAUCACAGUUGGCAAAACAUUUUGAAAUUCACUUUUGAGCUCUGUUGUAAUUUCAGUAAACAGUUACAACUAGAAAUACCAAAAGAAAAUAGAAUACAAGUAAAAUGGUAUUUCUGGGGGUUUUAGACAAGCUGUCAUGAUGAAGACAAGAUGGGGGUUUAGCAAAAUGGAUGCUGAUUUUGUUGUAUCGAAGAUUCAACAUUCUUUUGUUAAAGGCCGUUAAAUUUUGGAUGCAAAUUUGAAAGCCAAUGAAGCCAUAGAUUUUAGACUGAAGAGUUUGAGAGAAGGGGUGAAUCUGUAAGUUGUGUUGAGGCCUCGCGUCCCUGGUGAUCCACGUAGUUGCCAAAUGGAUGGACGCACGAUCUCAACCAAUAUAGAUUCCUGGUUCAGUCGUUCCUGCAAAAGGCGUUCGAACAGGGUGUCCGGACACACCCUCUGAUGGUUUUGUCAGCCAUGGUUAAAGAGAAUAAUCAGUUGGUCUUUUACUAGGUAUAGCAAGCUUACUUUCCUCUUUGUGUGAAGGUCCAUAUAUAUAGCGUUUAGGAGCUUUGUUUCUCUCUUUAAUGGUAGGGAGAUAUUUUGUCUUGUCAUGAUGCCUUUAGGUGGUGACAGGGCCAUCAUCACCCUACUGGCGGCUGACAGAGAUCGUGGGAGGCGCCGCAGCUGUCAGAGAUCGUAGGAAGUGACUUGCCAUCAUUCUUGUCCUUUCACUCUGUAGGUGGCAGAACGUGGGCCGUGGCAGGUUGUCGAAAUGACGUAGUAAGACUUGCUUACUUUAGUCAACGAUCCGGUCAAACCUAUCCGGAUAGGAUAUGUCGGUCGUCCGGAUGUGAUGUUUGCGAGUGUCGUGUACUUCUCCCUGAGGGAGUCCGGAUAGGGGAAGCGCGCCACGUGUCUCCUUGGAUCCAGAUGGAGCUAAUCCGGAUAGAAAUACGUGCCACGUGUCAUCAGGGGGAGGGGUCCCUACAAUGCCCCCAUUUUAACCUGCCCAUUUUGCCCGGGCAAAAUGGGCGGGUUAAAAAAUGAUUGUUUUUUGAAACUGAGGUUGACUUUUUUCGCUUUAUUGGGCCACAUGGCGAGCAGGGGCGAAAAAGGAAGAAGAGCAUUUAUGAUGAGCCGCCGAUUCUGGGAUUUCCCAACCAGCGUGUCCUUUCAAUGAUGGCUCGGCUGAGCGUUUGGGAUACCGAGGGGUUGUCUCUCUAUAAAUUGCAAACUGUGUCUUCCUCUUGCAUUUUUUCUUCUGCGUUUUUUCCUGGUAAUGCUUUCUCUUCUACCUUCUGCGUAUCUUCGUUUUCGAGUGAAGCUCUAGGGUUUUCUGCCGGCAAUACUCGUGUUGUGAUGGUGACUGCAUUGCGGAUUUCAUCCCAUUUUUCCAGUUUUACACUCGGUACGUUCGCUACUCUUGUCUUAUCUUCGUUGUGUUUGCUUUGUUGGUUGUUUCUGGCUUGCUGGGCAAGUUGCUUGCGACUGGGUGUCGAUAUUGGUUUCUAGGGUUUUUUCGGGGGAUUCUGUUGUGUUUUGGGUGCGUUUAGGGUUUCUGUUGCCCCUCUGCGCUUUUUGUGGGUUGUCGAUACUUUUUUGGGGUAGAAACAAGGUUUGGGAUGGGGAUGCUAGUGAUGUUAGGUUUUCUGAGCGUUUUUAUCGUUUAAGGCUGUGGGGUCGGAUUGUUGUGUUUGACUGUUGGUCAUUCUUCCAUGCAGGUUCCGUUCCAGUCCCAACCUCAAAAAUGUCUACGAACAAGGGCGCUGUUUCGUCUACUACGGUCGAUCAGAGCGGCAAAGAUGCGUCUGGAGACUUUCACGCGGAGAAGUCUGUGGACAAGCUGAAUGCGAAGGAGUUUCGUGAACGCUUCUGCAUCCCAAAUGGCGUGUUCGUUGAACUUAUGGACGGAGAGGCCAUGUCAACUGAGGAAACUGAGGAUAACGCUAUCUUUUUUACCAAUGAGCAAUUCAAUGCUGGGCUCCGGUUCCCUCUCCCAUCGCUUUUCAAAGAAUUUCUCCACUUCACCCAGAUCCCUCCGGCCUACAUCCAUCCCAACAUGGUCCGAGUGCUGAUGGGAUGCAGCACUCUAAGUAUGUUGUUCAACCUGGACCUCUCGCUGCUGGAGGUUCUUUUCAUCUACUCCCUCAAGAAGGGGAAAAAUGACAUCUUUAGCAUGGUUGCCCACCUGCCUUCUCUCCAACUGGUGAUUGAGCUUCCAGAUUCGACGAAGGGAGGAGCCAAGGGACAUGUGUUGGUCCGGGGUGUCUGGGCUGGGCUAUUGGAGCAUCCAGAGAGGCUGUUUUCCCUAAACCGUUCGUUGGUGCUUCCGGGUAAGGCAGCUUGCAGGGUUUGUCCGGCAUUCAUCUUGUUGUUCUUCUUGCUUUGGGGUUAUCAGAUGGCUUAAUACCUUUGGUUGCUGAUAAAGCAGGUCCGGACAAGAGGGGUCACGUAGUCGAGUGGGUAGAAAAAGCGUUUUUCGUUCGACUAAACAAGUUAUUUGAGAUUACUGCCGCUGAGAGGCAUCAUGAGACGCUGCUUACUACGCGAAACUUGCUGGCUGUUGUCAAGGAGCCCCAGACAUAUGUCACCAAUAUUCUCCCCAGGAAGUUGCCAAAGAAGGUAGUGCCUAGGGAGCAUUACGUUCUAAAAGACCUCCCUUUCUACAAGGAGGUGCGCAAGGUAGAUGCCCAGGCACGUUGAGCACGUCUCGAUGAUCGGGAGGGAAGAAGGAAAGAGGGAACUUUGCGGAGGGCCCCCGGUAAAAAACGCUCCGCGCCCUCUCUUCCUGCUGGCGCCCCAGCGAAAAAGAAGAAGAAGAUGGUUCUCAAUAAGGGGAAAUAAAUAAAACUUCCAACUCCCCCAAAGGAAAUGGUAAUACCACCUCCAACUUUUGUAAAGGAAAUAACAAUAAGAGAGCCAGACCACCCCGUCUUGCCCUCUGUUUCAAGUGGCUCCGGACGUCUCGCAGGUCUAAACCAUUCGGGGCCUUCAGUGCCAGUGGCUGGACAACUGGCUCUUCUGGCUGAGGAAGCGACUUCAGUAAAUCAGCCCGGCUCUCCCCAUCCGGACGUAGAUGCAGCCGGGGCCUCUUGCACUGAAGCAUUGCCUCCUUCGGCACCCCCAAUGAAAGAAACAGGGGUAGAAAGUCAAGGUUUGCCUCCUUAUGAGCCAAGCCCCCUUGCCUUUGUACUAGUGAAGGAGCCAGCUACAAGGAGGUCUCGUCCGGCGUGUGACUUAAAGUCUAGCCUCAUCAGGCGGCUUCAGGAUCGUUUUUUGGAAGCCAUCGAAGUCAGCUGCUCAUCCGUCCAGGAGGAUCAUUCGGAGGGGAGUGAGACGGAGAUGGCAGAAGAGAACCCAACCGCCCCGGUGUUGGUCCCGGAUGGGGGUUCACCCGGAGAGACCCAGUUGGCCGAGAAUGAUGGGGCCCCGGACCCGAGGGAGGAAUCACUUCCUAAUGCCUCGUCAGGGGGGAGUCCCGUUGAUGAUGCAGCUUGCAUCUCCCCUAGUCCUUUCAGCUAUGCGGAGUUAGGAGAGAUGUUGAAAUGGAUUCCAUCCGGCUCAGAUGUUGCUGUGCCUUCAGCAAAAAUGUUUGAAGCGGCGGAAAUGGUAUAGUUUACUUCUUGAUUUAUCUCGUUAUACUGAUGUGUUUGUCACAUGGGUUGUAAUUUUUGCAUUUCUUGUUUGUGGGUUUUUCUGCAGUUGGUGAGCGGUAUUCGCGACAUGGCUCAACAACGUGAUCUUUUUUCUGACCUGCUGCGGACUGCUGAUUAUAUGAAGGCCUUCGUCUCUCAGCGCAUAAACAGUGAAGAGGAUCUGCGCUUGAGAUUGGAGCAGGCCGAAGCCAGUUUAUCCGCUGCUCGAGAUGACAACGAGGCUCUCCGGAUAGAGUUAGCUAAGGCAAAGAGUCGGGAGGAAUCUACAGACGCCCGCCUGCAUGAGGCGGAGGACGAGAUGGCGCAGCUAAGGGAGGAAGUGAGGCAACUCCAGACAGAGGUGUCUAUUGAGAAAAAGUAGAGAGAGGAUUUGCAGUUGCGUUUAUCAGCGCAAAAAGAAGAGUUGGAGGUUGUGUUUGCUGCGGAAAGGGAGGAACUUGAAGCGGACUACCAGAAGCAGGUAGAUGAAAUGUACUUCUUCGGCUACCGUUGCUGUAUGAAGAAACAUGGUAUCAAGCGGGAUGUCCCUUCGAUUCCCUCGGGUGAAAAGGAGAAGCUACCCGACAAGCCUUCCCAAUGAGAGCUUUUCUUUUUGUAAUUUUUUUACUGCUAUCUUCUCUCUGUAUUUUGUAGUCCGGAGAACUCUUUGUAUACAACUUCACAAGUAUUAAUAAAACAUACUUAUUCAUAUUGUACUUGUAUCUUUCUUUCAUUGGUAAUACUGCUUUAAAUUGGAUACAUUCCAUGGUCUGAGUAAUGGGGUUCCGUCUAGCUUUUGUAGAUGAUAAGUUCCACUUUCACUUGUCUUAGAUACUAUAUAGGGGCCUUCCCAGUUGGCUUGAAACUUUCCUACUCCUAUCUCAGCAGUAUUUUCGAAAACCUUUCUAAGGACCAGCGUACCAUUUUUGAAAUUUCUGGGCCUUACCUUGCGAUUGUAGUGAGCGGAUGCCCUUUGUUGAUAGUCUGCCAUCCGGAUGGAUGCAGUUUCUCUUACUUCGUCUGCCCAGUCCAAGUUUCUUCCUAACUUCGCAUUUGCAUCAUCCUGUCUUCCUGCCUCGGUCCGGAUAGUGGGUAGCCCUAUUUCAGUAGGAAUGAUUGCGUCCAUACCUAUGCGAGGGCGAAGGGAGUGUUUCCUGUCGGACGUCCGGGUGUUGUUUGAUAAGCCCAUAGGACGCCGGGUAGCUCCUCCACCCAUUUUUCUUUGGCUUGCUCGAGCCUCUUCUUUAAGGCAGUGAUUAGAGUCUUGUUUGUGGCCUCUGCUUGCCCAUUACUUUGAGGAUAACGCGGUGUAGAGUAUGAAUUCCAGAUGUUUAGUUCCGAACAGAAAUUCCGGAAAGCGAUGCUAUCAAACUGUGGACCGUUGUCGGCUAUAAUGGUUUGGGGGAUUCCGAAGCGGCAGAUGAUGUUCUUCCACACGAACUUGGUGACAUCUUUGUCUUUGAUGCUAGAGUAUGCUUCAGCUUCCACCCAUUUACUGAAGUAAUUCGUGGCGACGAGCAGGAAUUUAUUUUGAGCGGGUGCGGCUGGUAGGGGUCCUACUAUGUCCAUGCCCCACUUCGCGAAGGACCAGGGGCCUGAAAUUGGCUUCAAUGUCUCCGACGGCACAUGUGGUAUGGGGGCAUGACUUUGGCAUUUGUCACAUUUUUUUACAUAGGCUGCCGCAUCCUUCUUCAUCGUGGGCCAGUAAUAUCCUUGCGAAUGGGCCCUGUGUGCCAGAGAUCGACCUCCAGAAUGAUUUCCACAUACUCCCUCGUGCAAUUCAGCUAAUACAUACAGGGCCUCUGAGUGGUUUAGGCACCGGAGAUAGGGACUUGUGAAGGAUCGCUUAUACAAGUGCCUCCCAAUCAGGGUGAAACGGGCAGCUUGCACCCAGAUCUUGUGUGCCUACUUGGGUUCUUCAAGCAGAGUGCCUGUCCGGAGGUACCUUAUAAUGUCUUUCGUCCACUCUUGGUUGUCUACUUGGUUUGCCUCAAUGGUAUUGCAAGUGGAAGCUUCCGCGACAUAAGGGUUGACUUGCACAUGUAUAGGCAACAAUAUGGCUUCUUUGAUGGGGAGGGAGGUAGCUAUGCUUGCCAAGGCGUCGGCGCGCCCAUUUUCAGUUCGUUUUAUUUUUUUGAUCGUCUAUUCGGUGAACUGCUGUAAGGUGUCUCUUACUUUAGCCAGAUAUCGCGUCAUGCGCGCGUCCUUAGCUUCGUAUUCUUUCUGAACGUGCCUUACCACGAGUUGGGAGUCACUAUAGACCCGAAGCUUGGAGACGGAUAGAGCUAGGGCGAGGUCCAAUCCGGAUAGGAUGGCCUCAUAUUCCGCUUCAUUGUUAGAGGCGGUGAACCCCAGCCGAAUGGCUUGCUCCAGAUGUUCUCCUGUUGGUGAUUGUAGUAGGAGCCCUAUUCCGGAUCCUGAUGAUCGUGAGACUCCAUCGACCCGCAAAGUCCACCACUCUUUUUCACUUGGUUCCUUGUGCUGGAUAGGCCUUCGGGAGUAUUCCAGCACGAAGUCAGCCAUAACUUGGCCUUUCAUGGAUAACCUGGGUUGGAACUCGAUUCCAUAUUCGCUUAACUCUAUAGCCCAUUGAAGCAUUCUUCCGGUUAGGUCCGGCUUGUGCAGAAUGUUGCGAAGGGGUUGGUCAGUUAGCACGACCACCGGGUGGGCUUGGAAGUAAGGGCGGAGCUUUUGGGCGGCACUUCGAAAAGUUAAAGCCGUUAGCUCCAUCUUUGAAUACCUGGUUUCUAGGUCUGCCAAUACUCUACUGACGUAGUAGAUAGGUUUCUGCUCCUUGGGCGAUGGGCAACGGAAUAGAACAGCGCUAAUUGCUCACUCUGAUACAGCCAGAUACAUAUACAGUUUUUCUUCAGGGAGGGGACUGCUCAGGAUGGGCGGUUGCAUGAGACAGUGUUUAAUUUUUUCAAGAGCGCUUUGACAGUUGUCCUUCCAUCCGUUUGCUCCAGCUUUUCGUAUUGCCAAGAAGAAGGGUCGCAGUUCGUCAGUGAAGCAGGCUAUAAAACGUCCUAGCACGACGAGUUUGCCUGUGAGGCGCUGUAAUUCCUUUUUGCCCCUGGGGGGUGGUGUUUCCAUGACUACCUUGACUUGAUCCGAGCUAACCUCUAUCCCCCUUUGGCUGACCAUAAAUCCUAGGAAUUUGCCAGCACUUACGCCAAAGGCGCAUUUGGAAGGAUUCAGCUUCAUACCAUACUUCCUUAAGAGUUGGAAGAUUUCUUGCAAGUGGAGGACAUGUUCCUCUCGGGUUUUGCUUUUAACCACGAUGUCGUCAAUAUAUACCUCUACUGUGCGGCCGACCAGAGGUUUGAAGAUUUUCGUCAUCAGUCUCUGAUAAGUGGCGCCAGCUUUUUUGAGUCCGAAUGGCAUGACUUUGUAGCAAUAAAAAUCGUGUGGCGUUAUGAAGGCUGUUUUUUCUUCGUCAGCCGGGGACAUGGGGAUUUGGUGGUAUCCGGAGAAGGCGUCCAAGAAUAAGAGCAUCCCUUGCCCAACAGUGGAAUCCACAAUUUGAUCUAUCCGUGGCAAAGGAAAACUGUCUUUUGCGCAUGCAUUAUUGAGGUUGGUGUAAUCGACGCACACCCGCCAUUUGCCUUCUUUUUUUGGUACCACCACUACAUUUUCCUACCAGUCCGGGUAAUCCACUUCUCUGAUGAAUCCGGCUUCUAGCAAUUUGUCAAUCUCAUUUCGAAUAAUUUUUUGUCUGUCCUGGUGAAAACGUCUAACCCUCUGCCGGAUGGGUCUUGCUGUUGGCAAGACGUUAAGCCUAUGAGAGGUAAUGGAGGGAUGAAUUCCCUUCAUAUCAGAAUGUGCCCAUGUGAAGACGUCAUGAUUUUGUCUGAGGGCGUUCUGCAUGUUCCGGGUCUCUUCUAGUGUCAGGAGGGAACUGAUAUUCGUAAGGUGAGUACCUUCUUCCGAAAUUUGGAUCGCUUGCAAAGGAUCCGCUGCCGGGAGAUCUUUGUCCGCCGGACUCAAUAAUUGUUAUUGGUCACGUGCAUGGCUGGACUCAGGGAGGGAUGCAUCCUUCUGGCUGGUCCCUACUUCACGUGCUAUCUGGUAGCAUUGGCGAGCGGCUAACUGGCUGCCGUAUAGGUCAAUUUGCCCAUCCUUGGUAAGAAAGCUUACCAUUUGAUGAUACGUAGAGGGGAUGACUUUCAUGUAGUGCAGCCAUGUGCGCCCCAAGAUGACAUUGAAGGGUGAUAAAUCUUGUACCACCGAAAAUUGUACGUUGAGAGUGACUGGGCCAGCUUGGACCGGCAGUACAAUGUCUCCCAAGGAAGUAGUUGACGACCCGUUGAAUCCGGACAAGAUUCGCCCAGGGUUUUCGAGGCCUGUGAGACUGUGUCCCAUGUGGCUAAUGACCGAUGCUUGUACAAGAUCAGCCGAGCUACCCGGGUCAACCAGGAUGCGCCUCACGUCAAAGUCUCCUAUCUCUAGGGACAGGAUGAGGGCGUUGUGGUGCGAAUGCAAUAUCCGGGUGGGGUCUACUGGUGGAAAAAUGAUUGUCCCAUCUAUGGGGCGAGGGCCCCCCUCAAUUACUCCAGGCCGGAUGGAGUUGACACGUUCACGCACCGAUGCUGCCCGCAACAACUUUUGUCUCUUUCGUUUGGAGUCGUACUCCUCGUCAGAUGGACCUCCAUUAUUAUAGUUUAUAACCGCUUUGGGGGCGGCUGGGGCCCUGGGGGCUCCAAAGUUGUGAUUUCGGGAAGCGUCUCUACCUUCGGCAUCUGAGCGGAGGUAUUGCUUUAAAUGUCCUGCCCUUAUGAGCCUUUCAUGGAAGGCACAUUUUUUACUAUGAUCUCUUUUGGAUGGAUUCGUUCCGAGGGGUCUAGGCCACCUGAAGUCGGACAUGUCUUAGAUCAUAGGGAGAAGCUUCUCAUAUGAUAUGGAAAGGGGUGUGAGGGGCGGCAUUUUCGGGUGACUUGGCCCUUUCUGCCUUCGAUCGGACGGCCUUGGCCUGUCCGGAAGUUUGGUACUUCUUUCCGCACCCCUUCUGGAUGUCUGUCCGGCAACCAAGACUUGCUGGGUGGCUACACGCACGUCAUCUUCGAGCAUUGAGUAUUUGCUCGCACGCCGGAACAAGUCGUCCAUCGUCGUAGGAGGCUUUUUAGCGAGUGAUUCAAAAAAUGGGGUGCCUGAACAGAUGCUUCGUUUGAAGAUUUGUAGGACAGCAUCCAUGCUGUAAGCCUCUACCUAUAGUACGACCUGACCAAACCGCUUCACGAACUCCCUUAAGGAUUCGUUAUCCUGCAUUUUUAUGUUUUGCAGAGUGCUGAUGUUCUGCUUAUGUCGAGCGAAGCAUAAGUAUUGCCCCACGAAGGCUUCCGAUAGGUCUCUGAAAUUAUCAACAGAGUUAGGAGGUAGGCAGUGAAACCAUGAGAGGGCCUGCCCUUGUAGGCUGGCGGGGAAUACUUUGCAUAGCAGUGCGUCGUUGCCUAUAUCGAGAGUCAUGAGCUGUCGAUAAUGCAUGAUAUGGUCGAAGGGGUCACUGGACCCAUCGUAUGUGGAGAAUUUGGGCACAAGGAAUCCCCUUGGGGGCUCGUAAUGAAUGAUAUGAGAGCAGAAAGGCAUGGAGAGCAUGUCGUCCAGCCUUUUGGUGAUGGAGCCAAUGGGUGGCUCAUUUGGGAGGUUUCUCCCAGCUUGUUGUACCGCUAGGUGCGGUUGAACGUUCUGCACCAUAGGGGUGACCAUGGGGUCACGGUGUGGACGAACAUUCUGCACCAUAGGGGUGACCAUAGGGUCAGGGUGCGCUCCCCAAGUUGUGGCUACUGGCGGCCUUGGCCUCCUAGGCUCCUGUGGGCCUAGCCUCGCGCGCAUCGAGUUUGACAACUGGGGCCUUUUAUCGCGUUGUCUUUUUGCUGAAAAAUGAGCAGAGUCUGAGCUUUCCUCAUGUGGAGCUCGGUGCAUGGGAGUGUGUGGCUCAUGCGGCCUAACGUUGCAUGUUUCUGGGAUGGCUCCUGCUGUCCCAAGGUAUAUUGACUCUGGUUCUGGCCUUGAGUUUGCUACCUGGCCUCUUGAACGUUGACGACGGGGAGGCCCCAUCAAUGAAGCCUGGAUGCAUAGCACCACGUUUUCUUCUCUUAACCUUUCUGUCUCCUAGAGGAGAGUUUGCAGUUGUCGUUAGCUUGUCAAUUGUCUUCUUUUGAUGGCUUGGCGCCAUUCAGAAUUAUCUUCCUCUCCCCUACCAAAUGAACGGCUUCGGGAAGGUGUGGCCAUCUUUGCCGGUGACUGAAUCAGCGAGAUUCCCACAAACGGCACCAAUGUUGAGGCCUCGCGUCCCUGGUGAUCCAUGUAGUUGCCAAAUGGAUGGACGCACGAUCUCAACCAAUAUAGAUUCCUGGUUCAGUCGUUCCUACAAAAGGCGUCCGGACAGGGUGUCCGGACAUACCCUCCGAUGGUUUUGUCAGCCAUGGUUAGAGAGAAUAAUCAGUUGGUCUUUUACUAGGUAUAGCAAGCUUACCUUCCUCUUUGUGUGAAGGUCCAUAUAUAUAGCGUUUAGGAGCUUUGUUUCUCUCUUUAAUGGUAGGGAGAUAUUUUGGCUUGUCAUAAUGCCUCUAGGUGGUGACAGGGCCAUCAUCACCCUACAGGCGGCUGACAGAGAUCGUGGGAGGCGCCGCAGCUGUCAGAGAUCGUAGGAAGUGACUUGUCAUCAUUCCUGUCCUUUCACUCUGCAGGUGGUGAAACAUGGGCCGUGGUAGGCUGUCGAAAUGACAUAGUAAGACUUGCUUACUUUAGUCAACGAUCCGGUCAAACAUAUCCGGAUAGGAUAUGUGGGUCGUCCGGAUGUGAUGUUUGUGAGUGUCGUGUGCUUCUCCCUAAGGGAGUCCGGAUAGGGAAAGCGCGCCAUGUGUCUCCUUGGGGGAAAUCCAGAUGGAGCUAAUCCGGAUAGAAAUGCGUGCCACGUGUCAUCAGGGGGAGGGGUCCCUACAAGUUGGAUAUUCAGAAGUCCAACAAUCAUAGGAUUUGACAACGAGUGAAUAUGUUGGAUACAAUUCCUCAUGUCUAUUGUAACAAUUUCUUUGUUUGUGAAUGGCUCUUUUUUGUUUCUUUCAAAGUCCAAGCGGGUUGAGACAAUGCACCCUCUUAUCUCCUUUGUUUGUUCUAGUUAUGAAGACUUUUAACUGUUUUGUUACCAAGGUGACAAGAGGGGCUUCUUUUAUGACUUUAAAGUAAGGGAAGAUGAAGAAAAGGGUCGGAAGUCUCCCAUUUACUCUUUGCAUUAUGAUAAAUUGCUUUUUUGUGAUUGAUCACGGGCUCAGUUUUGAUGUGAAGUCAUCUCAAAAUUGAGAAUAAGCUCGAAGAAAAGUGAAAAGUCCCCAAUAUUGAAGAAUUAACCUCUUUGUUGGGUUCCAAGGUGGUCAAGUUACCCUUCUCUUUUUUUUUUUUUUUUUUUUUUUUUUUGAGAUAAUCGAAGAACCUUCUAAACCCUUAGGACUCUCCAUAAAGACCCAAACCUUGGGCCUUCCCUAACAAUCGACACUGGGUGAAUCAAAGUAUCAUCAAUAGCAAGAUUUAAAAUCAAGAUCAUGUGCCUCUUAUUAGAACCACAUGCAUCUCCCAUCAUUCGCCCUAACCAACUGGGCUACCCGACAGGCAUACCUUCCUUCUUAGUCUUCCUAGGUUUUCCCUUCAAAGUCUUCUACUAUGUCAAAUGUUCUGAAGGAGAGGCUACUUAAAAGGUUAGCCUCAUGGAAGUGUUAGUAUUUGUCUACAAGUGAAGAUUAACCCUUUUGAAAAGCAUUUUAUCCAAUGUGUCCAUUUACUAUUUGUUAUCCCAAAAAGAGUUCAUAUGAGGUUAAAAAUGAUUAAGAAAGAGUGUUGGUGGCCAGUAAGUUUUUUAAAGAAGAAACCUCAUUUAGUCAACUCAUAUACAAUGUAUUUAGAUGAUAAAAUAAAAAUUAAAUUAAAUUAAAAAUGGAGGCAUUGAAAUAAUCAUUUUGUUCACAAAUAUAUAAUUUAUAUUAUUAAAAUUCACAAUAAUUAUAAAAAGGAAAAUAAUUAAAAAUAACCAAAAAUAUCUUUUUUUGAGUGAAGACACUUUUAACUUUUCUAACUAUUUUCUAACUUUCAUAUGUCAAUAAUAAAUAAUAAAUAAAUAAUUAUUUUUUACUUUUUAAUUAAAAGAAUUUUAGAAUAUCAAUUUUCAGACCUAGGGCAUGUGCAAAACUAUAUUGUUUAUGGUCAAAAUGACAAUUGAUGAGGAUGGUACAACCCAUCCACUCCAAUUUUUAAAACCAUGUUUUUAAGCAAGGCUCCAUUAGGUAAGUAGAGUUGCAGAUUUGCCAUAUAUAGGGAUAAUAUAGAACAAUUUUUGCUCACAAAAGUAGACAUCCUACAUUAGUAAGACCUUUGUAUGCCAGUACCUAGCAUUUAUAAUGCAUAACAAGAACUACAAAACACUUCUUCCUGAGGUUGUUCAAAUUUACACUUCCAUUAAAUGGACUCCUCAAAAUGGGCUACAUCAGACGGGACAUCUAAUGAAUAAUGUAUGGGGGAAUAAGGUAUGACUAAGGUUUUACAUUUAGUACCAAAUCAACAUAUGUUUAUAUAGGGAUGAUUUUGAUGCAAAUCAAAUUAAGCUUUUACAUUUAGUACCAUCAUCCAAGAUUAAUUCACCAUGGCUCUAAAUGGUCAUGCAUGUUUUGUUUCCCCAUAUUUUUAUUAUCGCCCAUGGAAGAAACUACAUGGGUCAUUUAGAGGGGCCCAUCACAAUAACAUAUAGCCCAAUAAAAUUAAUGAAGUCUUAGAAACUGAUUCUAUAAUCCAUGCAUGCAACAAGCUGAGAAAAUAAUCUUUCAAGUUAAGAUUGGAUAGUUGAGCCCCCUUAGAAACUGUACCACACUUCAAAUCUCAUUUUCCCUUAUUUACGUAUUGGCAUACACUGCCCUUUAUCUGCUCACAAAGAAUUAGAGCUUACCAAGAAAAAGUUCUCGUUCAACUCAAACAAUGUAGAGGGUUGUAAAAUAGUUCAAGGAGAGGAAGAGUGGCUGAGUAAGUUAGAACAGAAGGACAAAGCUACUCUAAAUGCCUUUUUGCCCCGUUUCAAAGCAACAUAAGAAUAAGGGGCUUUCAAAGCAACAUAAGAAUAAGGAGCUUAAGAAUGAUUUCCAGUCUUCUAUUUUCAUGUCUAUUUGAUAGUUGGAAUGUGUAUUGUUCAUUUGUGGGUUGAUUCUCUCUCCACCAUUGAAAUUCCCAUGCAGGGACAAAACAAAGGAAAUGUAUGAUGUUAUGAGAUGUUUAUGAAAAGUGUCUUGUAAUUGCAUUAUGUGUAAUAAAGUACUAAGUCUAUAUAGGGUUGUUUAAAAUUGUUGUGAUCUAAGUAUCAUUUUGAUAUGAUUUUAAUUUUUAAAAGUAGAAAAUGAUAUUAAUUCCUAUAUUGAUUUUAAAAUGUUAAAUAUUUGAAAACUUUUACAUGGUAAUUCUAAAUAUUGGUAAAAUCAUACUAUUAAUAUUUUGUACAUUUUUAAUAUUUUCAUCCUUAAUUGAAAAUAUUUUCCAAAGCAACAUAAGAAUAAGGAGCUAAGGAAUGAUUUCCAGCCUUCCAUUUUCAUGCCUAUUUGAUGCUUGGAAUGUGUAUUCUUCAUUUUUGGUUAAUUGCUUUUACGUUUACAGGAAGAAGGGCCCAAACUCCCUUUGUUGCUCCUCUAUCCAUCCUUGUAAUCCCCACGCAUGGACAAAACGAAGGAGAUGCAUGGCUUUAUAUGCAUGACAAGUGUCUUGUAAUUGUGCAUGUGGAAUAGAGUUUGAGUCAAUUGGUCGUUAUUUCAAACUAUUAUGUUGUAAGAAUAAGUUGGAUAUGAUUUUUAGUUUAAAAAAUAGAAAAUAAUGUUUCAAUUUGAAAUGUCUUUAAUGAAAGUGUUUUUAAAAGAAUUACCUAUAAAUGUUUCUGCAAAAAACACUACAACCAAUUUUUUAAUACUAUAAAGUAAUUUCUUUUAAAAUUUAAAAGUAUUUCUUAAAUUUUAUUAAACACCUAAUAUUUUUUUUAAAAACACUUUUUUAGGUUGACAAUGUUUUUCAAAAAGCACUGUCAAAUAGACUCAAACUCUUAUAUUGAUUUUAAAAAUUAUUUCAAAAUUUUAAAAAUUCAAAGGUAAAUUUAAAAAACAUAAUGUAAGUAUGAGUUACUAUAUUUUAUAUGAAAGUGGCUAUUAAUUUCUAUCUCUAAAAAUAAAAAUAAGAAAUGAAUUCAAAUUAUUAGUACUUAAUAAUUAACUAAUUAAUUAGUGUUUGAAUACAAAUAUAUAUACAAUAAAUUAAUAAGUUUCUUAUAUGUUUGGAAAAAAGCAUCUAUAUAGAGUGUUAUUUAUUACAAAUGUAUGAUAAAUUAAUAAGAUUCUCACUUAAGUUGCAUUUUAUUUGAAUUUCAGAGAAAUAAUAGUUGUAAAAUUAGAAGGAAAUAGGGUUGAUAUUGUCAAAUGAUGAUGAAACAUAAUUCAGAAAUUAAAACAGGAAGAAAAAAAAUUAAAUAAUUGUAUAUUCUAUAUUAUAGUGGAGGCAUCAAAUAUUUGUCUAUUAUCAUUAUUAUUAUUCUUUUUAUCAUUUCCACCUAAUUUAUUCAUCGAAUACACAAGAGUUGAGUCACAUAAUCCAUAUUGACCAAAUAAAUAAUAGGACAAAGUCCAACUCUCUCCUCUUAACAUGAUAUAUAUACCUUUUUUUAAUUAAAUGAUAAAGCUAUAUAUAAUUCUAAAAAGAUUCUUUGCAACAAUAUCUUGUAUUUUUGCAUGUGGUCAAAUAAUCAUCCUCAUUAUUAUUAUUAUUUUAAUACCACAACUACUCUACCUAAUAACAAAUGGUUGCCAAUUUUCCUGAUAAAUUAAGUUUUGAAAAGAAUCAUUUCAACUACGUACUCUACCAAAUCAUCAACAAUAAGAAAUGGUUGCAAGUUAUUUUCCCAAUAAAUUAAGUCUUGAAUUCUCCCAACAAAUGAAGUUUUGAAAAGAAUCCUUUAGUUGUAUGGUACUUUACUAUCUUUAUAUGUAAGUAUAUUUGUUCUCAUAUGUAUAAGGAUUUUUUUAUUUAUUUAAAAGAAUCACUUCAAUAUGUGUAUUAUUAAUUAGUUUAUUAUUUUUUAGAAUUUUGUCUAACAUUUUUGUAAUUUUUUAAUCAACUUUUAUCCCAUAAUUUUUUUUUCAAAUUUUUGUAUAAUAUUUGUAAUAAUUUUAUAAAAUUUGAAUAUUGAUAUUUUGUAAAUUUUUUACAUGUUCAUCCAAAAUAUUUUAAAAUUAUAUGUCUUUAAAAUAUAUUAAAAGUUAAAGCAUGCAACCGAAGGUAAGAAAUAUUUGAAAAUUAAGGUCAAUUAUGGUGCCUAUAAUAUUUUAGUCACAAAUCCUUCUAUAAAAAACUUCCGUAGAUCAUAUUAAAAAUAAAAUAGAAAGGAAGUGUUAGGAAGAUGCGAAGAUGUAUGAUAAAUGAAUAAGACUAAGUAGUAUUUUAACUGAACAACUAAGACAACGACGAUAAAAAUAAGAAGGAAAAACAAACUUGUACUACGUCUUGGUAACACCGGAGAAACAUGAUUUAAAAAAUAAAAUUAAAAAAAUUUGAUAACUUACCAUCAACUUUGAUCAUUCCCAUGCUAUUUAUCAUAAUUUAUUUAUUAAAUAUACAAGAGCGGAGUAAUCGAAACCAUAUUGUCUAAAUUAUUGAAUUAAGUGAAGUCUCUCUUAUCUUCUAUCAUCGUCUACUUACAUAAAGCUUAUAACAGUAAAAAAUGAAUUUGAUGGCAUCUUUUCUUCUUUUAUAUGGCCAACUUCUCUAACUAUUAUUUUAAUUCCACAACUUCUCUAACUUAUCAUAAAUGACAAUUAUCGUUUCUAUCAAUGUUUGUUAUUUCCACUUAGUUUAUUCAUUGAUUCAUUGAAUAUACAAGGGCUGAGUCACACAAUCCAUUCAGGUCAAAUAAUUGAAUGAAGUCACUCUCCCUUAUGCCUUUUCAUGAUAUACUUAUUUAUUAGAUGAAACAAUUGUAAUAAUAAAAUAAGAAUUUUGUAAUAACAUCUUGUCUUCUUUCAUAUGGCCAAAUAGUCCUUGUUAAUAUUAUUUUAAUCUCACAAUUUCUCUAACUAAACAUAAAUAAAUAAGAAUUGAUUGCAAGCUAUUUUGUAAAUAAAUUAGAGUUGGAAAUGAAUUAAUCAUUUAGUUAAUGUAUGGUAGUUGCAUAACUAAUCUUAUUAGUUACAACAAUGCAUGGAGAGCAACAAUAAUGUAAUAUAAAAUAAAUAAAUGCAAUUAACAUUAUUUUCUUGAAACCCAAAUAGUUUAACUCUUUUAUGAUUUUUUUUUUACCUCAAGCUAAUUAUUCUAGAAUAUGUAGUGCACUAAGUUGAAAUCAGUAACUCCGACUUCAAGUCAUAUUAAAAAAAAAAAAUUAGGAAUUUGAAAACUAUUAAGAAUGGAUGUAUUAGUAAUUAGCUUUUAUAUCCAAACCUUAUGAUAUGUCUAAGAAAAAUUGAUAUCUAAAUUGAAGACUUCAUAUCAUAAAUUCCUUUUUAAGCUAAACAAUUUAAUGGUAUAUUUGCAAUUUUUAGAAAAUCCAAAUCAAGAUGUUAGGAUCAAAUGUGAAUUAUCAUUAAAUUAGUUGGUAAUUGAUACCAUAAAAAUGAAAUAAAAACUGUUAAUUAAUCAAGUUAUUUAAUUAAGUUGCCAAUUUUAUUCAAAACAUUAUUGAAUUCACUUCACAUGCUUUCUUGGUUUUAUAUAUAUAUAUAUAUAUAUAUAUAUAUAUAUAUAUAUAUAUAUAUAUAUAUAUAUAUAUAUUUUAGAAGUCGCCUUGAAAAUAGAUGAUUUCUCCAUAUAUAUGUAUUUUUUAAUCAAUGAAGAAAUUGUUUCUCUAAUUAAUUUUUCUUAAGAAAUCAUAUCUUAAAGAGAUGAUUUUUUUCUCUAAUUUUUUUGAAAAGAGAUUUUAUAAAUCACCUUUUGAAAAGAUAAUUUUUUUUAUUAUUAUCUUUUUAAAAUGAAAUAAAUCAUCUUUUUAAAGAGACGGUCUAAAAAAGAAAUAAUUUUUUUUUAUUUAACAAAAAUUACAAUAAAUUUAAAAUUAUUUUUAUCACUAUAAUAUUUUAGGAAUGGUCUUUUUAAACUAUUGUACUAAAAAAUCUUUGCUUACCCGGGGGUAGUGGGCAAUAAAGAAAUGAAAAGAAGUUGGCAGGGGGGCGUCANNNNNNNNNNNNNNNNNNNNNNNNNNNNNNNNNNNNNNNNNNNNNNNNNNNNNNNNNNNNNNNNNNNNNNNNNNNNNNNNNNNNNNNNNNNNNNNNNNNNGAAUGGAUGUAUUAGUAAUUAGCUUUUAUAUCCACACCCUUAUGAUAUGUCUAAGAAAAAUUGAUAUCUAUAUUGAAGACUUCAUAUUCCAUAAAUCCCUUUUUAAGCUAAACCAAUUUAAAUGGGUAUAUUUGCCAAUUUUAGAAAAAUCCCAAAAUCCAGGAUGGUUAGGGAUCAAAUGGUGAAUUAUCAUUAAAUUAGUGGGGUAAUUGAUACCAUAAAAAAUGAAAUAAAAACUGUUAAUUUAAUCAAGUUAUUUAAAUUAAGUUGCCCAAUUUUAUUCAAAAACAUUAUUGAAUUCACUUCACAUGCUUUCUUGGUUUUAUAUAUAUAUAUAUAUAUAUAUAUAUAUAUAUAUAUAUAUAUAUAUAUAUAUAUAUAUAUAUUUUAGAAGUCGCCUUGAAAAUAGAUGAUUUCUCCAUAUAUAUGUAUUUUUUAAUCAAUGAAGAAAUUGUUUCUCUAAUUAAUUUUUCUUAAGAAAUCAUAUCUUAAAGAGAUGAUUUUUUUCUCUAAUUUUUUUGAAAAGAGAUUUUAUAAAUCACCUUUUGAAAAGAUAAUUUUUUUUAUUAUUAUCUUUUUAAAAUGAAAUAAAUCAUCUUUUUAAAGAGACGGUCUAAAAAAGAAAUAAUUUUUUUUUAUUUAACAAAAAUUACAAUAAAUUUAAAAUUAUUUUUAUCACUAUAAUAUUUUAGGAAUGGUCUUUUUAAACUAUUGUACUAAAAAAUCUUUGCUUACCCGGGGGUAGUGGGCAAUAAAGAAGUGAAUAGAGGUGGCAGUGGGGCGUCAUCCAGCUGGACCCUCAAAUGCAAAAUAAAGAAGUGAAUAGACGUGGUGGGUUGGCUGUCAUCCAGCUGGACUCUCAAAUGCAAAAAUGGAGAUUCAUUUAUCCCAACAUGAAGCACCGUCUUCAACGAGAUGUUGAAGCCAAUACCUAUAUCUUCUUCUAAACCAACUCCUCUCUUCUGCUUGAUUCAUCAUCCCAAAGCUCUCCACACUCAUCAUUUCCCUCAAAACUACCUAGUUCUUAAUCCUCGUUGACAAAACCAUGGGCAACAUUUGCUCGAUUUCACUCCCUGCUGACCGCAUUGUCUCUAGCUUCUGGGAUGGCACUACUGAGCAUGCAAAUUACCUGCGCAAACUCCCUGAAAAUCUGGUAGAAUUGGGAACCGCUUGUGAAAGAUUGAGGGAGUUAAGGAACGAUGUGAAGAGGAUGGUGGAUAUUGCUGAGAGGGAACAAAUGCAGCCGCUGGACCAAGUACAAGGGUGGCUUUCAAGGGUUGAAACACUGGAAACUCAAGUCACUCAACUGAUUGGAGAUGGCACCGAGGAGGUUGAGAAGAAAUGUCUGGGUGGUUGCUGUCCUAGGCGUUGCAGGACCAGAUACAAGUUGGGGAAGAGAGUAGCUAGAAAGUUGAAAGAAGUUGACAUUCUAAUGAGCCAAAGACCUUCGGAUGUGAUGGCUGAGAGGUUACCUUCACCUCGCCUAAGUGAAAGGCCUAGUCAAGCAACUGUCGGCAUGAAUUCCAGAAUUGGUAAGGUUUGGAGUAGCCUUCAUCAAGAACAAGUGGGAAUUAUCGGCCUAUAUGGAUUAGGAGGAGUUGGGAAAACCACCCUUUUAACCCAAAUCAAUAAUGCUUUUACUAAAAGAACCCAUGAUUUUGAUUUUGUGAUCUGGGCUACAGUUUCCAAAAAUGUAAACCUUGAAAACAUUCAGGACGACAUCUGGAAGAAGAUAGGGUUUUGUGAUGAUAAAUGGAAAAACAAAAGUCGAGAUGAGAAAGCUACGAGCAUAUGGAGAGUCCUGAGCGAAAAGAGGUUUGUGCUGUUGCUAGAUGAUUUAUGGGAGCGGUUGGAUUUAUCAGACGUCGGGGUCCCAUUCCAAAAUAAGAAAAAUAAGAUAGUAUUCACCACUCGAUCAGAAGAGGUGUGCGCUCAAAUGGAAGCUGAUAAGAAGAUCAAAGUGGAAUGCCUAACAUGGACAGAAUCCUGGGAAUUGUUUCGAAUGAAGCUUGGAGAAGACACUCUCGAUUUCCAUCCUGAGAUACCAGAGCUCGCUCAAGCCGUCGCACAAGAGUGUUGCGGUUUGCCACUUGUGCUAACUACCAUGGGCAGGGCCAUGGCUUGUAAGAAGACACCGGAGGAAUGGAAGUAUGCAAUAAAAGUGUUACGAAGCUCUGCCUCAAAAUUUCCAGGUAUGGGGGACAGAGUGUUUCCUCUUUUAAAAUACAGUUAUGAUUGCUUACCCACCGAAGUUUCCAGAUCUUGCUUCUUGUAUUGUUCUCUAUAUCCGGAAGAUUAUCAAAUGCCAAAAUUAAGUUUGAUAAACCGUUGGAUUUGUGAAGGCUUUUUAGAUGAAUUUGAUGACAUGGAGGGAGCAAAAAACCAGGGUUACAACAUUAUUGGCACUCUGAUUCAUGCAUGUCUAUUAGAAGAAGGUGAUGUUGAUUAUAAAGUAAAACUGCAUGAUGUAAUCCGUGAUAUGGCAUUGUGGAUAGGUUGUGAAACUGGGAAGGAGCAGGACAAGUUCUUGGUGAAGGCCGGCAGUACGUUAACUGAAGCUCCUGAAGUUGCUGAAUGGAUGGGGCCAAAAAGGAUUUCACUGAUGGAUAACCAAAUUGAGGAACUAACAGGGUCUCCUAAGUGCCCCAAUCUCUCAACUUUGUUUCUUGCGGAUAAUAGUUUGAAGAUGAUCUCUGAUACUUUCUUCCAGUUUAUGCCAAGUCUAAGAGUUUUAGACUUGUCAAAAAAUAGCAUAACUGAAUUACCCAGGGGAAUCUCUAAUUUGGUUUCAUUACAGUAUCUCAACCUAUCACAAACUAACAUAAAAGAGUUGCCAAUUGAGUUGAAGAACCUGGAUAAAUUGAAAUGCUUGGUGUUGGUUGACAUGCCUCAACUUUCUUCAAUUCCAGAGCAGUUAAUAUCAAGUCUUUCAAUGUUGCAAGUUAUUGAUAUGUUCAACUCUGGAAUUUCUGAAAGAACAGUACUCAAAGAUGGUAUUUUGUCUGAUGAUAAUGAAGCCUUGGUUCAGGAAUUGGAGUCCUUAAAGUACUUGCAUGGUUUAGGCGUCAGUGUAAAAAGUGCCUCUGCUUUCAAAAGGCUUCUAAGCUCUUACAAGCUAAGAAUCUGCAUUUCCGGUCUAUGCCUCAAGAAUUUCAAUGGUUCAAGCUCUCUCAAUUUAACAUCUCUCAGCAAUGCAAAGUGUCUUUCUAGCCUCUAUAUCUCAAAAUGUGGCUCGUUGGAAGAUUUGGAGAUAGAUUGGGCUGGGGAAGGAAAGGAAACAGUGGAAUCUAAUUACCUUAACUCAAAGGUCAGUUCCCACAACAGUUUCCACAGCCUUGUGUGGCUAGGAAUCGAAAGGUGUUCGAGAUUGAAGGAUCUAACAUGGCUUGUUUUUGUUCCUAACCUUAAAGUGCUUACAAUAAUUGAUUGUGAUCAAAUGCAAGAAGUAAUAGGUACCGGUAAAUGUGGUGAAUCUGCAGAGAAUGGAGAAAACCUGAGUCCAUUUGUCAAACUCCAAGUACUUGAGUUAGAUGAUCUACCACAAUUGAAGAGCAUAUUUUGGAAAGCCCUGCCAUUUAUCUACUUAAAUACAAUCCAUGUACGUAAUUGUCCACUUCUAAAGAAGCUGCCACUCAGCGCCAACAGUGCCAAGGGAAAUCGAAUUGUCAUUGCAGGACACAACAAGUGGUGGAAUGAAGUAGAGUGGGAGGAUGAGGCUACCCAAAAUGUUUUUCUUCCAUGUUUCGUACCUGUUAGAGAAUAAGGGGCUGCAGCAAUCUCAGAGAGGCUACGAUGCGAUUCUAGGUGAGACCCUUUUCACAAUUAACUAUCAUUUGAUCCUGAAUAGGUAUUGGUCCAAAUAAAGCAUUCAAUUAUAGCAUCUUUUCAUGGUUGGUCCAAAUAUGUUGUUUCUCUUUGAAUUGCAAUAUUACAUUUUUUGUAUUCUAGGGAUUGUGAGAUGCAUUUUAUGAUUUGCGUAAACAAAAUUGAGUUCGAUGGCUUUCCUUAAUUGCUCUACUUCAAAUGAAGAGCAUGUACAUGAUAUCUUUGAUGGGAAACAAUCUAAUGUACAUAAUUUCAAAAAUAUAAUCAUAUUUUCAAAUAGAAAAGAUAGUUGAGUCAGGGUACUCCUAGAUCAACUAGCAAUUGUAUCUUUGUUCUUGGAGAAGCAAGCAUUCUUGAGAGAAAAAAAAUCAAGUCCCACUUCGUACAAAAAUUUUAGGGGAGAACUUGCCCAAGUCAUGGGUAGACCAUAAUUGAGACACCUUAGCUAAGGGUCCCAUUUGGUUCCCUAUCCGUGUAUAUCAAAUACACCUUUUCAUAUUGUAAUGGGAAUUGGAGUGUGGGAUUUAUACAACAUUAAAGCAUGUAUUCCUUAAUUUUGCAGUAAGUUAAAGAGGAUGAAACAUUUUUUAUUUGUUGCAAUUCAAGAGCAUGUACUAAAAUGCUCUCCCCUUGUGUUCAAAAUAGAAGAACUCAUUUAUCUUAUAUCCUAUAAAACUUUUUUCAAAAUUUUGAGAAAGUGAAAAAUUUUCACUUCCUUAAAUUUUUAAAUUUUUUUAAUCAAGUGUUUUCAAGUAUAUAAGUUAUUUACUUGUUUUUGUAUAAUAAUUCUUAUAUUUUAUAUAAGACUUCCUAUUUUAAAAAUAAAAAAUAGAAUAUGUAUCCAACCAUACACUAAGUGAUUCUCUUAACAAAAGUACCAUAAAUAAAAAUACUUUAAUGAGAAUCACUCUCAAACGUGUUCUAAGUUAUAUUUUCUAAUGGACUAGCUUUUCUAUCAAAAAAGUUCUUGAGUAGACAAUAAUUUAUAAUUAAAUGCAAAGCAUUUUUACUCCAUAGUAAUUUUUAUUUACCUUUUUCCAGUUUAAUAUCCAUCUCUCAAUAUCUUGGUAUUUUAAACUAAAGAUAUAAUUUUAUUAGUUGUGUGCAUGACAUUAUCUUAUAUAUCCAUGUAAGGUUUUUUCUAAAAUAAAUAAUUAAAAAUUUCAUUAUUUAAAAAAAUAGAAUCAAUAAUAUCUUAUUUUUAUAUAAUACCAAAAUUAACAAAUUUCUUAGCAUUUUCAUGUUCAUAAAAAAGAAAUAAAUAAGUAAAUGUGUGAAACUAAUAAAAAUAAUUGUUGAUUUAGGGUAAUUAUUUGGAAUAUAAUAAUAUUUAAACAAUGGAGCAUUAACUUAACUUACCUAUAUCAUUUUACCCAACAUAAGUUUUUUAUUAUUAUUUUAACAUACUAUCCAAUCACACUUUUUUUUGUUUAUAUCCAAAUAAUAAUUUCUUCUAUUUUACACUAUUUAAGAUGGGGUUUAGCAAAAAAUGGAUGCUGAUUUUGUUGUAUCAAAGAUUCAACAUUCUUUUGUUAAAGGCCGUUAAAUUUUGGAUGUAAAUUUGAAAGCCAAUGAAGCCAUAGAUUUUAGACUAAAGAGUUUGAGAGGAUGAGUGAUAUGUAAGUUGGAUAUUCAGAAGUCCAACAAUCAUGAGAUUUGGCAACGAGUGAAUAUGUUGGAUACAAUUCCUCAUGUCUAUUGUAACAAUUUCACUGCUUGUGAAUGACUCUCUUUUUGGUUUCUUUCAAAGUCCAAGUGGGUUGAGACAAGGGACCCUCUUAUCUCCUUCUUUGUUUGUUCUAAUUAUGAAGACUUUUAAUUGUUUUGUUACCAAGGUGACAAGAUGGGGCUUCUUUUAUGACUUUAAAGUAAGGGAAGAGGAAGAAAAUGGUAGGAAGUCUCCCAUUUACUCUUUGCAUUAUGAUAAAUUUCUUUUUUUAUUUUUUAAUUAUGGACUCGGUUUUGAUGUGUAGUCAUCUCAAAAUUGAGAAUAAGCUCAAAGAAAAGUGAAAAGUCCCCAAUAUUGAAGAAUUAACCUCUUUGUUAGGUUCUAAGGUGGUUAAGUAGCCCUCCUCCUAUCUUUUUUUUUUUUUUUUGGAUAAUCGAAGAACCUUCUAAAUGCUUAGGACUCUCCAUAGGGACCCAAACCUUUGCCCCCCCUCCCUAACAAUCGGCACUAGGUAAAUCAAAGUAUCAUCAAUAGCAAGAUUCAAAAUCAAGAUCAUAUGCCUCUUACUGGAACUACAUCUCCCAUCAUUCACCCUAACCAACUAGGCUACCUGGCGGGCUAGUUACCUUCCUUCUUAGUCUUCCUAGGUUCUCCCUUCAAAGUCUUCUACUAUGUCAAAUGUUACGAAGGAGAGGCUACUUAAAAGGUUAGCCUCAUGGAAGUGCUAUUUUUGUCUACAAAUGAAGAUUAACCCUUUUGAAAAGCAUUUUAUCCAAUGUGGCCAUUUACUAUUUGUCACUGUUUGUUAUCCCAAAAAGGUUCAUAUGAGGUUAAAAAUGAUUAAGAAAGUGUUGGUGGCAAACAAGUUUUUUAGAGAAAAAACCUUAUUUAGUCAACUCAUAUACAAUGUAUUUAGAUAAUAAAAUUAAAUUAAAAAUGGAAACGUUGAUAUAAUCAUUUUGUUCCCAAAUAUAUAAUUUAUAUUAUUAAAAUUCAAAAUAAUUAUAAAAAGGAAAAUAAUUAAAAAUAACCAAAAAUAUAUUUUUUUAAGUGAAGACACUUUUAACUUUUCUAACUGUUUUCUAACUUUCACAUAUCAAUAAUAAAUAAAUAAAUAUAUAAUUAUUUUUUACUUUUUAAUUAAAAUAAUUUUAGAAUAUUAAUUUUUAGACCCAGGGCAUGUGCAAAACAAUAUUGUUUAUGGUCAAAAUGACAAUUGAAUAGGAUGGUGCAGUCCAUCCACUCCAAUUUUUAAAACCAUGUUUUUAAACAAGGCUCCAUUGAGUAAGUAGAGUUGCAGAUUUGCCAUAUAUAGGGAUAAGCUUCAAAGACAACCAUCUUAGAUAAAUUUUUGGUGAGGAGGGAGGAUGGUAGGACUAUGGAAAGAAAUUAGGAAAUGAUGGAAGGUGUUUCAAACAAGAAGUGGCUUUUGAGCUAUCCUCUUUUUUAUUAUAUACUAACUAAACACAUUAAUUAUUCCACCAGCCCAACUCUGUGUAGGAAUCAAACUUCCCAUAUAGAACAAUUUUAGCUCACAGAAGUAGACAUCCAACAUUAGUAAGACCUUUGUAUGUCAGUACCUAGCAUUUAUAAUGCAGAACAAGAAACUACAAAACACUUCUUCCUGAGGUUGUACAAAUUUACACCUGCAUUAAAUGAACUCCUCCAAAUGGGCUACAUCAGACAUGACACAUUAUGAAUAAGGUAUGAAUAAGGCUUUACACUUAGGACCAAAUCAACAUAUAUUUAUAUUGGGCUGAUUUUGAUGCAAAUCAAAUAAAACUUUUACAUUUAGUACCAUCGUCCAACAUUAAUUCACCAUGGUCCUAGAUGGUCAUGCAUGUUUUGUUUCCCAUAUUUUUAUUAGUCGUCCAUGGAAGAACCUACAUGGGUCAUUUAGAGGGGCCCAUCACAAUAACACAGCCCAAUAAAAUUAAUGAAGUCUUAGAAACUGAUUCUAUGAUCCAUGCAUGCAACAAGCUGAGAAAAUAAUCUUUCAAGUUAAGAUUGGACAGUUGAGCUCCCUUAGAAACUCUACCACAUUUCAAAUCUCAUUUUCCCUCAUUUAUGUAUUGGCAUACACUGCCCUUUAUCUGCUCACAAAGAAUUAGAGCUUACCAAGAAAAAGUUCCCGUUCAACUCAAACAGUGUAGAGGAUUGUGAAGUAGUUCAAGGAGAGGAAGAGUGGCUGAGUGAGUUAGAACGGGAGGACAAAGCUACUCUAAAUUCCUUUUUGCCCCGUUUCAAAGCAACAUAAGAAUAAGGAGCUUAAGAAUGAUGUACAGUCUUCUAUUUUCAUGUCUAUUUGAUACUUGGAAUGUGUAUUGUUCAUUUGUGGGUUGAUUCUCUCCCCACCCUUGCAAUCCCCACACACGGACAAAACAAAGGAGAUGUAUGGUGUUAUGAGAUGUUUAUGACAAGUGUCUUGUAAUUGCGUUAUGUAUAAUGAAGUACUGAGUCUGUAUGGGGCUGUUUAAAAUUGUUGUGUUCUAAGUAUCAUUUUGAUAUGAUUUUUAUUUUAAAAAAAAUUAUAUUAAUUCCCAUAUUGAUUUUAAAUAUUAUUUCAAAAUGUUAAAUAUUUCAAAAAAUUUACAUGGUAAUUCUAAAUAUUGGUAAAAUCAGACUAUUAAUAUUUUGUACAUUUUUAAUAUUUUCAUCCUUAAUUGAAAAUAUUUUCCAAAGCAACAUAAGAAUAAGGAGCUAGGGAAUGAUUCCCAACCUUCUAUUUUCAUGCCUAUUUGAUGCUUGGAAUGUGUAUUCUUCAUUUGUGGUUAAUUGCUUUUACGUUUAUAGGAAGAAGGGCCCAAACUCCCUUUGUUGCUCCUCUAUUCAUCCUUGUAAUCCCCACGCAUGGACAAAACAAAGGAGAUGGAUGGCUUUAUAUGUAUGACAAGUGUCUUGUAAUUGUGUAUGUGGAAUAAAGUUUGAGUCGUUAUUUCAAACUAUUAUGUUGUAAGAAUUAGUUGGAAAUGAUUUUUAGUUUUAAAAAUAAAAAAUAAUGUUUCAAUUUGAAAUGUCUUUAAUGAAAGUGUUUUUAAAAGAAUUACCUAUAAAUGUUUCUCCAAAAAACAACAAGUAAUUUUUUAAUACUAUAAAUAAUUUCUUUUAAAUUUUAAAAGUAUUGUUUAAAUUUUAUCAAAUACCUAAUAUUUUUUAAAGAACAUUUUUAGGUUGACAACGUUUUUCAAAAAGCAUUGUCAAAUAGACUCUUAACUCUUAUAUUGAUUUUAAAAACUAUUUCAAAAUUUUAAAAAUUCAAAUGUAAAUUUAAAAAACAUAAUGUAAGUAUGAGUUACUAUAUUUUAUAUAAAAGUGACUAUUAAUUUCUAUUUCUAAAAAUAAAAAUAAGAAAUGAAUUCAAAUUAUUAGUACUUAAUAAUUAACUAAUUAAUUAGUGUUUGAAUACAAAAAUAUAUAUAAUAAAUUAAUAAGUUUCUUAUAUGUUUGCAAAAGUAUCUAUAUAGAGUGUUAUUUAUUGAAAAUGUAUGAUAAAUUAAUAAGAUUCUCACUUAAGUUGCAUUUUAUUUGAAUUUUAGAAAUAAUAGUUAUAAAAUUAGAAGGAAAUCAGGUUGAUAUUGUCAAAUGAUGAUGAAACAUAAUUUAGAAAUUAAAACAGGAAGAAAAAAUUAAAUAAUUGUAUAUUCUAUAUUAUAGUGGAGGCAUCAAAUAUUUGUCUAUUACCAUUAUUAUUAUUAUUAUUAUCAUUUCCACCUAAUGUAUUCAUGGAAUACACAAGAGUUGAGUCACAUAAUCACCAAAUAAAUAAUAGGACAAAGUCCAACUCUCUCAUCUUACGAUGAUAUAUAUACCUUUUUUUAUAUUAAAUGAUAAAGCUAUAUGUAAUUCUAAAAAGAAUCUUUGCAACAACAUCUUGUAUUUUUGCAUGUGGUCAAAUAAUCAUCCUCAUUAUUAUUAUUAUUUUAAUACCACAACAACUACUCUACCUAAUCAUAAAUAAUAGCAAAUGGUUGCAAGCUGUUUUCCCAAUAAAUUAAGUUUUGAAAAGAAUCAUUUCAACUACGUACUCUAACUAAUCAUCAACAAUAAGAAAUGGUUACAAGUUGUUCUCCCAAUAAAUUAAGUCUUGAAUUCUCCCAGCAAAUGAAGUUUUGAAAAGAAUCCUUUAGUUGUAUGGUACUUUACUAUCUUUAUAUGUAAGGAUAUUUGUUCUCAUAUGUAUAUAAGGAUUUUUUUUUUUAUUUAAAAGAAUCACUCAAUAUGUGUAUUAUUAAUUAGUUUAUUACUUUUUAGAAUUUUUUCUAACAUUUUUGUAAUUUUUUAAUCAAUUUUUAUCCCAUAUUUUUUUUCUUCAAAUUUUUGUAUAAUAUUUAUAAUAAUUUUAUAAAAUUUGAAUAUUGAUAUUUUGUAAAUUUUUUACAUGUUCAUCCAAAAUCUUUUUAAAUUAUAUGCCUUUAAAAUAUAUUAAAAGUGUAAAGCACGUAACCAAAGGUAAGAAAUAUUUGAAAAUUAAGGUCGAUUAUGGUACCUAUAAUAUUUUAGUCACAAAUGCUUCUAUAAAAAACUUUUGUAGAUCAUAUUAAAAUAAAAUAUUAAGGAAGUGUUAGGAAGAUGCGAAGAUGUAAAAUAAAUUAAUAAGAUUAAGUAGCAUUUUAAUUGAAUAACUAAGACAGCGAGGAUAAAAAUAAGAAGAAAAAACAAACUUGUAUACGUCUUAGUAACACUAGAGAAACACGAUUUAGAAAAUAGAAUAAAAAAAUUGGAUAAUUUAUUAUCAACUUUGAUCAUUCCUAGGCUAUUUAUCAUAAUUUAUUCAUUAAAUAUUAUACAACAGCGGAGUCAUAGAAACCAUAUUGGCUAAAUAAUUAAAUUAAGUGAACUCUCUCUUAUCUUCUAUCAUGGUCUACUUAGAUAAAGCCUAGAAUAGUAAACAAGGAAUUUGAUGGCAUCUUUUCUUCUUUCAUAUGGCCAACUUCUCUAACUAUUAUUUUAAUCCCACAACUUCUCUAACUAAUCAUAAAUAACAAUUAUCAUUUCUAUCAAUGUUUGUUAUUUCCACUUAAUUUAUUCAUUGAUUCAUUGAAUAUACAAGGGUUGAGUCACAAUCCAUAGGGGUGAAAUAAUUGAAUGAAGUCACUCCCCCUUAUGCUUUUUCAUGAUAUACUUAUUUAUUAGAUGAUACAACUGUAAUAAUAGAAAAAAAAAAUUUGCAAUAGCAUCUUGUCUUCUUUCAUAUGGCCAAAUAGUCCUCGUUAAUAUUAUAAUACCACAUCAACGAGCUUAGAACAACAAAGAUACCCAAUAUAUUCUCAUUAAUAAUCAGUUGUAUUGUCAAGUAAUUUUUAAUUUAACUAUCAAGGUGUAAUUGAAAUAAUUUACCAAUUUUUUUCCAGGUUUUAGAUGAUUAUGGAUCAUAAUUCUUAUACUUUAAUUUUAAAUUUUCAUAAUUGGACUAGUUUUUCCACCAAAAAACCUUGAGUGGACAAUAAAUUAUAAUUAAAUGCAAAAUAUUUUUAUAAACAAAUAAUUAAAAAUCAUGAUUAAAAAUAGAAUAAAUAAUGCCUUCUUUUCAUAUGUUACUUGAAUUAACUAAUUUCUUAACAAUUUUAUAGUUAUAGAAAAUAAAUAAAUAAAGACGUAAAUCUAAGGAGACCGGAUGUAGGAAAUCUUAAUCAUAAGAACAUUCUUCUCUAUUAUGGUAAUUAUAUUACGAAAUAUGAAUUUCAUUACCGAGUCUACCCAUAUCAAUGGUAAUUCUUGAUAUUUAUAGUAUUUUAUGAUAACACAAUUAAUGUUUAAAUAUCAAUUAAAAAAAUUAAAAUUGGUUAAAAUGUUUGGGCUUAAUAUUAGGCCUCCAUUAUGAAUUGGUUUUCCUAAUUUGCCUAAACCUCGUUGUUUAGGACAAGAUAAAAAAAAAACUCAAAAUAAAAAAUUUGGAUCAAGACAAACAUUCAAACAUCCUUGUUGGCAUUUAAAUGUUGGGACUUUUAAAUUUGUUUCCUACUUUCUUUUUAACUCAAAAAUCUCAUUUUAAAAAUAUUUUAAAAUUAAGAAACUCUUUACAAUUGUUUGUUAGGGUUUUUCUAAUAUAAAAGAGUUUUUUGUUUGAUUGAAAUUUUGAGAACUUCCAAAAACUCUAGAGAAUAUAAUCAUUCUUAAAGGUUGUAACUCCAAUUUUUGAACCUUUUAAGAUAUUUCUUGAAAGAACCUUUUGUCUAUAAUAAGGGUUCAAGACUCAUACAACAAAAUUUCAAUAAGGGAUUCAAGAGAUCUACUAAAGAGCACAGGGAGUAACGCGUGAGGAAUGUGGAAAAGGAAUGUAAGUACUAUUGGUAUAAGACUUCCUAGAAUAGGUACAUUCAAUCAAGUAAAAAUAUAUAUUAUUUUCUCAUAUUUAGUAGAUUAUUUAACAGCUGAGAGACCACCAACAAUUUUUUACAUUUAGGUCACUAGUUUGGUUUUUUCAUAUUAUAUCCCAUGUUUAUUAUGUGAUUGGAAAUCUAUAGGAUUUAUCAAAUUUUACUUAAUAUCAAAAUUAUUUAACAGUUAAGAAACCAUCCACGAUUUUUUACAUUUACCCUACUAAUUGGUUUUUCCAUAUUAUAUCUUGUGUUUAUUAUGUGAUUGGAAAUCUAUGGGAUUCAUCAAAUUUUACUCAAUAUUGAUAUUAUUGAUAAAGAACACCAAAUUUAGGGUCGAUUACUUCAACUACCUAUUAAUCCCUUCGAGGCAAUUUUAUAUAUUAAGACAUAACAAUUCUUUCAUUAUUAUUCAUAUGAAAGGGUGAAUCAUGCAAAAUAUAUUUCUCUCAAAAGUUAAAUAGUAGCUAUGACUUAAAAUAGAAUAAUUCCCUCAUUUUAUAUAAUACAUAAAUUAAUUAAUUUAUAGUUACUUUCAUAUUUGAACAAAAGUUCUAAAGUAUUAACAUUAAAUAUUUAAAUGAGAAAUGAUAGGAAAUUAUGGUUUUCUCUUGAAAUUCUCUGUUAUGUCCCAAUCUAAGUUUCAUCAUGGCCAACUUUAAGAAGAAGAAGCUACAAUUCAUUUUGGGUUAGUUACCAUGAAGGUAAUAAAUAUUACACCCAAUUAUUAAGAAAAAAAUAUACUAAUUUCAUAACCAUGGACCUUUAAUAUAUAUGACACCUUUAAAAAGUGUAAUUUUUCUUGAUAAAACUCUAAAAAUGAUAGUAUAUUUAUUUUUUAGGCCAUCUAAUUAUUUGGAAGAAUGGCCAAUACUUAAACUAAAAAUUUCUAGCUUUGUUCCAACUAUAAUUGAUGAAAUUUAUGGAGAAAAAAAAAGCAAAACUAAGAAGACAAUAGUGUUGGAAUAAAAUUAAAAAAAAAAAAAAAAACUUAGGAACAAUUACAAAAAUCAUCCAUACUUUCAUUUAUAUAUCAGUUUAGUCUUUUUAACUUUUUUAAUGUAUAAUAUCAAUCAUAAAUUAUAUCCAAAUGUCAAAUAAGGCCUUUUGCUAAUAAGCAAAUAAAUAUUGGUAUUAGUUUUUAUAUCAUAUAUUUGGAUAUUUUCAAUUUAUCUACAUACUUUUCAUGAGACUUUUUUUCUUUUACAAAAAAUAUUAAUCAAAAUGUCAAGGUAUAAUUUAAGAUUAAUGUUACUUAAAAAAUAAAAUUUAGACACUAAAUUGAGAUAGUGGUAAAAAUUUUAAAAAUGAUUUUUUGUAAUUUUCUCUAACGUCUCUCUGUGCCUUUUUUGCUUUUUUUCCCAUUCAAUGCCCUCCACUCUUCUCCACCGCUACGGCUCCUUCUCAGGCCUGCUUUGAUCAAAUCAAAAGUCCUCAAACUGAUCCAAGCUGUAUUUAGGCAUUGUCUUGUAGCUCUAAAAAUUGAAAAGCCUAGUCGAAUUCCUUUUUAAAAUCUUUAUUAAAAAUCCCAAAAUUAAUUAUUAAGUUCUAUAUUAAAUUAAUCAUUUGGAAUUGUAUUGCCAUAGUAGUUAUUGUAAUAUCAUGAAAGGGUAAAGAAAAAGACAAAGAAAGCAAUGGAGUUCAAAACAACAAUGGAUGGAGCAAGAUUGAGGCAAAUUAGCUUUAGCCUAGGGUCCCAUGUGCCCCAUCUCCCUCAAACAAAUCCAACUUUACUAAUUCCACCCUCAACAAAUUGUUACAAAUAAAAACGCUUUAAUAGAACUCCCAAAACGAGUUCCAAGUCACUAAAAUGUUUUUCUUCGAUAUUUCAUAUAUAUCACCAAAAAAAAAUGAAUUACAACACUAUGGAAUAAUCUUCAAAAUAAUUUUAGUUGACUCAUUUCAUUUGGAUCUUGCAAUCUUAUACUCUAACAAUGCUCAUUCAUCAAUUUCAUUAGUAAAAAUAUUAUUAAAAUUAAUAAUUAUUAAAAAAAUUAAAUUAAUGACCUUUUUCAAAAGUCAUAUCUAUUUAGUACAAUAAAAUAAAACUUUCCUAUAUUAUGGUAGAAGAUGGUGGAGUACCAUCCAAAGAGAAAAGAAUUAAUUAUAAAAAUAAAAUAAAAUAAAAUAAAAUUAUAAAAACACUCCAAAUAAAAUUAGGUAAAACUUUAUAUAGAAGAGAAAAAUUAAGAUAGAUAGAUUUGAAGUAGCAAAUAAAAAAACAAUUAUUCAUUUUAAAUAUAGUUUUCAUUUUAUUUUAUUUUUCCAUUUUUUAUCGUAUAUUUUCUUCAAAAUUUAGGGAAAUCAAGAAGGGCUAUGAAAACGGAUGAGUGAUGUAAAAAGGGGAGAUGGAUCUAAUCGGGUAAUAAAUGAAGUGUUUGGAUAUUAGAAGAUAUAGAGUUUAGGCUUUUAUUAGUAAUAUUUCUAUGAAAAAGCAAAAAAAUUAUUAACCUUUUUUAAAACUUUUUUUUCAAAAUUUUGAAAUUUUUGAGAAAGUAAAAUUUUUUUAAUCUUUAAAUUUUAAGAAAUUUAAAAAGUGUUUUCAAGUAUAAAAAAUAUAUACUUACUUUUGUAUAAGAAUUUCUAUAUUUUAUUUUAUUUUAAAAACAAAGUUGAAAAAUGUAUCCAAACAUAUACUAACUAAUUAUCUUGAAAAAUGUUUUUAAUGGAAGGGUACUAACAAAAAAGCUGCAAAUAAAAACACUUUAAAUAAAAUCACUCUCAAACAAAUUCUAAGUUAUAAUAAAUAUUUUUCAUCAAUAUUUCAGAUCACCAAAAGAAAUAAAGGACUACAACAUUAAGGAAGAAGCUUCAAAAUUAUUUUAAUUUAAACUUAUUUCAUUUGUAAUCUUGCAAUCUCACGCCCUAAAUAUUCCCAUUCAUCAAUUUCAUUGGUAAAAUUUCAUUAGAAUUAAUAAUUAUUAAAAAUAAAUAAAUAAAAAAUCCCUUUAAAAAAUCAUAUCCAUUUAAUCACAACAAAAUAAAACUUUCUUGUUAUCAUGGUAAAGUAAGUCCAAGAGAGAAAAGAAUUGGUUUUAAUAAAUAAAAAGAAAAACAAAACUUUGAAAAUUUUCAAAUAUUCCAAAAUUUCUAAAAAAGUUCCACAAUCAAAGUUUUGUGAUCCCAAAAGAAGGAAAGACUUUACAAGUUAUCGACAAUUUCAAAUUUUCAAUUGGAGUUGUAAUAAAAUUUAAAUUAGAUUACAAAUCACAAUUUCAAUUAAUCUCAUUUCUUGUUAAUUCAAAUAGCAAGAAGAAAGUUGAAUAAAUUAAGGACCACUAGUCUCUCUUUAUCAGAAAUGUCUUCAAGCUUUUAAUGCCUUCACAUAUCCUUUUCAAUUUGAAUGCUACUACCUACCUAAUAAUAGUGGUCAAAAUUUUAAAGCAUUCACGUAUCAUUUUCAACUUGAGUACUAUUGUCCCCCUAAUAAUUGAAAUGUCAUUUUCUAAAAGUUUUCUCACUUCUUUUACAACCAUUAGUCGUCUAAACAUUUCAACCUUAUAAUAGGGCAUAUUCUACUUGAUAAUACUUAUUUUUUGUCUAAACAUUUCAACCUUAGGAUAAGGUAUAUUCUACUUGAUAAUACUUGUGUUACUAAUGAGAAGGUAUUCAAUACAUCUAUUCUAUCAUAUUAGUAUGAUAAUAUAGUAUAAAUGUCUAUUCAUAUUUAUCAAAUAAGGAAGGAAAAAGAAGUUAUUUAGAUUUGAAAAUAAUUAAUAAAAGUUUUAAAUUAUUAGAAAAAUGAAUUAUAAAUUUUUUUUUAAUAAAAUAACUUAAAUAUCAUUUAAUAUCGAAAAUAUAAAUAAAUUAUUAUGCUACAUUAGUAAGCAUUAUUAUAAUCGAGUGCAUUGGCAAGUAAUUUUCAAUUUGACCAUCAAGGUGUAAUUGCAAAAAAAAAAUUAUAAAAAAAAAAAUGAAAAGAGUGAAAAGAGAAAGUUAGGAAGAAAAGGGAAGGGAAAAAAGAAGGAAAAUGAGGAUUUUUGUUAUAGAAGACUUGAGAGGAAUCUAAGAGAGAUGCAACAUUUUUUUUUGUUUGUUUAUUUAUUUAUAUUUUUUCUUAUUUAUUCGUUUUUGUUUUUUUGUAUUAUAAUUAAACUGGAGAAUGUGUUUAGUUUAUAUAAACGAGAUUAGACUUUUCUAAUUUAGAAAAUUAUUUCUAGUACCAUAAAUUUUUUUAGAUCCAAAUAUUGUUACUUUAUUUUUUGAUAUAUUUAUUAUAUAUAUAUAUAUAUAUUAAGAAGUUUUUUUAUAAUUAAUUUUCUGUUAUCAUAUAAAUUGAGUCAUUGCUAUAUAUUAAUAUGAAUAAAAAUUGUAAAAUCAUUUUUCUUGACUAAUCUUGUAAAAUUAUGUAAAUUGAUAUUAUUUCUCAUAAUAAUUGUCAAUAAAAUCAAAGAACCAUUUUUUAUGUUUUUAUUUUAACAUUAAUAAAGUCAAUAAUCAUUUUUAAAUAAAUUUUGUGAGGUUGUAUGAAUUGAGGUUUCUUUUGUAUAUUUACAUUAAUAAAAAAAAAUCGUUUCUUUUGAAUUAUUAUUGUGAGACCACAUACAUUGUAUGUGGCAUCAAUGAAAUAAGGAAAAUCAUUUACUUAACAAGGUUCAUUUUUUACUAUUAAUUUUUCCCUUUAUCCAUGUAUCAACUUUCCAUAUGUUUAUACUUCUUCAUUUUGUGUCUGAUUUAUUAUUUAAUUAAUUCUUUUAAUUUCAAUCAUUCUACUAAAAAUAAUAUAAAAAGCCACUGACGGAGUUAGAAAAUUGAGCAGUCAAGAUGUUGGUAUUUAUUGGAGUGUAGGUAAAUAAGAAACAAAUUACCUUUGUGGGCUACUAGUAGUAAUUGAAUUCAUGUUUUGUCUAAAGAAAGGAAUCAAAUUUCUCUUUCUGCAAAAAUUUUAGGGGAGCACUUGCCCUAGUCAUGGGAAACCUUUAACUGGGGCACCUUAGCUAAGGUCCCAUUUGGUGCCCCAUCUCUCUUCAUCAGACACAACCUUUAAUAAUUGUAAUGGGUACUAACUAGAUGAUUCCACCAAAUAAUUUUUCAUACAUAUUAUCAGCUCACUUUUUUGUUUAAAUAAAAUAAUAAGUGAUUCUAUUUAAAAACAUUUCUAAUAUAACCAUUAUUAACAAAAUAAACCAAAAGCGUUUGAAUCAAAAUUAGUCUUAAAUAGACUCCUAUGAAGAAGUUGAAGAAGUUGUCUUCAAGUACUAAUAACUCCUAUGAACAUACUUGUAAUUUGAAAACCUUAAGAGUCAUGAAUGAGUUAAAUUGAGAAGAUUAAGAGUGUAUUUGGGUGCAACAAAUCUCGACUUUCUUAGCAUUAAAGUCCUACUGGGUAAACUUAAGGCCAUGCUACCACAGAGAGGCAAGGGAUUUGACCCCAAAAUGUACAAUUUUUCUUUGUUAUAUCAAUACAAACAACCAUCUGUCCAUUAAUUUUAAUUUAAGUGAAAUCGUUUUACUCCAGAAAUCAGAAGUUGCAAUGGAAGGCGUUCAUAAUUUUGGGUUGGACAAAACGUGCUUACUGGGGGUAGUGGACAAUAAAGAAGCGAAUAGAGGUGGUAGGGGCCUAUCAUCCAGCUGGACUCUCAAAUGCAAAAAUGGAGAUUCGUUUGUCCCAACUCUUCUCCACUACUACGGCUCCACAGCACUCCUUCUUAGGACUAAUAUAAACUCAAAAGUUUGCAUUAGGUUCUAAUUUUAAAAUUUUGAGGAAGUGAAAAUUUUUCUACUUUCUUAAAAUUUAGAAAUUUUAAAAAUGUGUUGUUAAAUAUAGAAUAUACCUAUUAUAAUUCUUAUAUUUCAUAUAAGAUUUUCUAUUUUUUAAAACAAAACUGAAAAAUGUAUUAAAAUACAGACUAAGUGUUUCUCUUUAAAAAUAUUUUUAAUGAAAACACAAUUAAAAAAAAUGUUGCAAAUAAAAAUGCAUUAAUAUAAUUCCGUUCUAAUUCAUUCAAAUAUUUUUCUUGGAUAUUUCAUAUAUCUCACCAAAAGAAUAUGGAUUACAAUAUUAUCGAAGAAUCUUAAAAAUAAUUUUAGUUGAUUGAUUUCAUUUAGGUCUUGUAAUCCUAUACUCUAACUUUACUCAUUCAUCAAUUUCAUUGAUAAAAUAUUAUUAAAAUUAAUAAUUAUUUAAAAAAAAUUAAAUUAAUAACCUUUUUCAAAAACCAUAUCUAUUUAGUACAAUAAAAUAAAACUUUCCUAUAUUAUGGUAGAAGAUGGUAGUGUAUCGUCUAAAGAUAAAAGAAUUGAUCAUAAAAAUAAAAUAAAAUAAUAUAAAAACACUCCAAAUAAAAUUAGGAAAAACUUUAUAUAGGAGAGGAAAAUUAAGUUAAAUAAAUUUGAAGUAAUAAAUAAAAGAAAAAUUAUUCAUUUUAAAUAUAAUUAUUUUUUUUCUUUUACCCUUUCUUUCUAAUUUUUUUCCCUUAUAUUUUCCUCAAAAUUUAUAGAAGCCAAGAGGGCCUAUGCAAGUGGAGAAAUGAUGUAAAAAGGGAAGAUGGAUCUAAUCAGACAAUAAAGGAAGUAUUUGGAUAUUAGAAGUUCUAAAGUUUAGGCUUUAUUAGUAAUAUUUUUAUGAAAAAACAAAAAAUUUAUCUUGCUUUUUCUAAAACUUUUUUUUCAAAAUUUUGAAAAUUUUGAGAAAGUAAAAUUUUUUUAAUCCUUCAAUUUUAAGUAUUUUAAAAAGUGUUUUCAAGUAUAUAUAUAUAUAUAUAUAUAUAUAUAUAGACACCUAGGACAAGGUCAUAUGCAAUGAAAACAGGAAUUAUGUCAUGAUUCAAAACAAAGAAGAGGGUUAGAAAAUACAAAAGAUAUCCAACAAAGAAAUUUAAAGAGAAGAAACCAAAAACUUGUUAGUUCAUAAUAAGCUUAAAACCGACCAUGUAGGCGGUAUAAAAUGAAAAACAUAAACUUAAAAACAAAGCUUAAUUAAAACCGACUAUGUAGGCGGUACAAGAACAUAAAAUAAAAUGAAAAACAAAACUUAAUUAAAACCAUCCAUGUAGGAGGCAUAAGAACAUAAAAUAAAAACAAAACCAUCCAUAUAGGAGGUAAUCAAAACAUACUUAUAUUAUACAUAAGGAGAAAUAUCUUACAAUGGACAAGGGUAGGAAAGCUUGAAGAAAGCUUGAAAGCUUGAAGGGCAUACAUGAUGAGAGAGAAAGAAGAGAGAAGGGAGAGCAUAAGCUUAGGAGAGAAAAUUUUAGUGUUUUUUACAAAUGAGGACCGAGCCUCUUUAAAUAGGCAAAAAAGGAAUCUUGAAUAGUAACCAUGAAUAGUAGACCCGUGCUUGAAUAAUGAAUAGUGAACAGUGAAUAGUAAGAUUCACUUUUAUACCGAAAUCCCCCAAAAACUCUCUUUCGGCUGAGAAGACUUCUGGCAGGCUGCUUUAUACUGUGUAGACACAUGUUUGCUGCUUUUGGUGCAGAAAAUGCUGGAAAAGCUUGUUGAAGAGGAUAAACUUGCAGGCUGAGAAUCAUGAAGCUUUGUAAUUUCUUAUUGGUGGAAGAAUACCUUCACAGUCGUCGCCAUUGUCGGGAAGGUAGCUUGUGGAAUCAUCAGAGUCUGCAUAUGAGUUGUCUUGAGAAAAGCUUGAGCUUCCUUCUUCCAAGAUUUUCUGGAAUUCUUGAGGAGUUUUUGCUGCUGCUAACAUGGCUUGGAGCUGUUGCUUUUUAAGCAAAAACUGAGAUGUUUCAUCAUUAGCUGAGGCUUGUGUGGGAUGCUUGAGGAAGUACUGCUUAACAACAUUGAGUGAUGCAUCAUUUUUUAAGGCAUCCCACCAUUUUGUUUUAAAAGUCCUUCCAAGGGUUGGAAAGGCUGUUGAAUCAUCUGCUAUGAUUAAAUAAUCCCACUGGACAAUCCAAGCGAGGCCAAAAUUGCUGAAGAAGAAUAAUAAAUGUGGAAAAGCUGAAAGUUCUCUUGGAAUAACAAAAGAACUAUUGAAUAGCUCAAAGCCAUCCAAUACAGGCUUAGGGAGGAUUUUAGUAGAUGGUCCAAAAUAGGUCCACCAAUUGUGAAACCAAAAAAGGAAAGAAGAAAGCUGGUUCUUGGAAGGAAAAUAGAACAUCCAUGAAUGAUGGAAGUCCCUAUUCUGGAUCAGAAAAGCAUUAAACCAUGCUUUCUGAUAAUCCCAAUAAUUAAAAAAUCUUGGCUUAGAUGGUUCAGAAAACUCCCUUGAAAGAUUGGGAUUCCCCCCCCCCCCCCCCNNNNNNNNNNNNNNNNNNNNNNNNNNNNNNNNNNNNNNNNNNNNNNNNNNNNNNNNNNNNNNNNNNNNNNNNNNNNNNNNNNNNNNNNNNNNNNNNNNNNNNNCCCCCCCCCCCCCCCCCAUUGCUUGACAGUUAGGAUCUUAUAGAUAUGACAAGUGGAAAAUGCCAAAUCUAAAUUGCUGAAUUUAUCUGCAUUAUGCUUGAUCUUAACAGAACCAGUUUCAAUAAGAACUGCUUCAUAAAAUUCUCUUGUUUUUAAAAGAUCGGCAGAGGGAUAGUGGAAAUUUUUAUAAAAAGCUUUUGCCACAAUCUCUCUGGGGUUUUCAGAAAAAAAAACUCUCUUUCAAUAACAAAAAGAGGUUGAUUUAAAUCUUUUUGCCAAUAUCUUGAUUUUGUUGAAAGAGAUGUGGGGUUGGCAGCCACCACAAUUUGUUUGCUUGAAAAAGAGGAGCUUGCUGCUAAUUCCUUUUGAGAGGGAUUAGCCAUAGUGACCUGCUUAAAGGUCUGAGACCCUGAGAUAGCUGGAUAUUGGGUUGCCUUAACUGGUUUAGAAGGAUCCGAAGGAUCAUAGUAUAAGGUCAACAUCUUGUUAGGCAUAUAGUUAGAUUCAUGCAUAGAUUUAGAAGAAUGAAGCUUUGCCAAAAACCGUGCUUCUUCUUCUUCUUGUUCAACUUGUUGGCUCCAAAGCAUUUUAUGAGGAGAAGGGGAUUGGUUAGUUUGACUGGACUGGGAUUUUUGUGAGCUAGGAGCUGGGGCAUUCUUUUUAGGGGCCAUGAUCUCAUGAACCCUGCAAAAUUCUCGAGAUAGCUGAUUAGGGAUGAAAUAUUCUCCUUUAAUAAAAUUACCUUGAAAAUUAGCUUUUAAAAUAAUUUACCAGUUAAUUAAAUCAUACCUAAAAGCUAUGUAUUUAAUUGUUCCAACAUUUUUGAAAACAAUUUUUAAUAAAAAUUCUUGAUUCAAAAUACCAAUUUGAAAAUUUGAAAUGAGUAAAGAAAUGCUUAAAAUAUCAUUAUGCAUGAACUGGUUGCAUAUUAUCUUAUGAGGAACAUCUAAUCCAACAAGAUUAAUUUCUUGGUUACAAGGCGUGAUGCUUACAGUUGGAUUAGCAAAUUCAAAAAGAAUUUCCUUAUCAAAAAGCUUGGUUCUUAUACCUUGGUUAUCUACCCACAAGGGAUAAAUAGAGCUAAGAAGGGUAUUCCUAGAAGGGCUUUUUCCUUAAGAUCCUUAACAAGGAUAAAGGUUUGCUUAAUACAGAUGUCAUGGUUACGGAUAUGAACAUCUGUUAAUUUAUACUUAAUAGCAAGUCUUUUGCCAUUGGCUCCAAAUAGAGACUGACUAGUCUCUUUGCAUAAAGAAAUAGGUACAAGACCUUCUUGAAGGCAAUUUUCAGCUGCUCCUAAAUCAAUCAAAGCAAUAAUAUCAAAGACAAAUUUAUCUUUGACUACUAUAGUAAGGGAGACUUCCCACCUCUGUAAGAUAACCCUACUCACAGUAUUCAAAAAAGUAUCCGUCUCAUUAUCAUUAACAUGAGAAGAUUCUGGAAUAUCCAUAUGGAUUUCUUGGUUGCCAAUUCUAUUGAUUUGAUCUUGGAGAUCAGAGAGACCUAGACUUAUGAAUUGUCUUAACUCCUUAAUCUCCUUUUUAUGCUGCUUAACUUCUUCAUGAAGUUCCUUAAUGCUGACUUCCUUGGGAGACUGUUGGUCAAACCUGUUUAAGAUAUCAUUAAGGUUAUAAGGAUUAACAGUCUUCUUGGCUUCUACCUUAACAACAGAUUUCUUAAAAACUUCAUAAAGAUUUUGCUUAGUCUUUUCAUCUUAACCUUUUCUUAAAGUAUCUAGGAUAAAUUCCUGAUCUUGGCUUAUGACAUUUAUAGUUUUAGGAUGGCAAUUACAAUUACCUUUAAUACAUUCUGCUUGGUCACUAGAAGAUUGGCUGGAAACUUCACCACUACUGUCUAGUUGAUUAAUGUCAUCUUCAUUAUCUGAAUCAGUCCUUGAUUCAGAAUCUGAGGAGUUUAACAUUACCUUACAAAGCAUAUUUUUUAGGUCAUCUGAAACACUUAAGUUAUUAAUCUUUUGCUUAACUCUACAAUCUUUCUUAUAAUGACCAACUUUGCCACAUUUAAAACAGAUAAUUGGCUUGACAUCUAAAGGAGUUUCUACCUUUUUCUGGGUAUCUUUGUUGACCCUUCUUUGGACGUGCCUUGACUGAUUAGUAUCAUUCAUCCUAUAGUUGUCAUAGGUACCUCUCUUACUGUGGUAAAACUUAUCUUUGCUAGGCUUCCUGCUUGGUUUUUGCUUAGAGGGAGGCAUAGUUUCCUUUUGGCUGAAACCAAACUGGCUACAGAAUGAUCCAAAUUCAUUCUUGUAGAUUUUUUGUUCAUUCUUCAUCUGUUGCUUAAGCUUGAAGUCAUUGCACAACUUAAUCCCUUCAGCUGUGACAAUGCUUAUAAUCUCACCAUAGGUUAGCUUGUCAUAAGGGAUUUGACCAUUAUAUUGUUCCCUUAUCUUGAUCCUAAUUCUCUCAGAGAAAAGCUUGGGCAAUCCUGAGAUGAAUUUUUCUUUCCAAAAAGACUGGUUACAAUCUGAUCUUAACAUGACUUUGGUUAGGAAGACUUCCUUAUACCACCUAAAAUCAUGAAGCUUGGGACACUUAAGGUUGGUUAAGAGAUCUGCAGUUUUAUCCUUAAUUUUUGCAGGAUCUCCAAUGAAGUGCUUGGAUAUUGAGUAGAUUAGAGUAGCCACUGCAUCCUCUAUAUCUUGGCCAUCUUUGUCCUUAACAACUUCAUUAUUCUCAUUAAUCCUAUAGGCUUUAAGGAUACUAUUCCUAUCAUCAAAAGUGAGAUAAUUAUCCCACCAACCCUUAAGCUGACCUGUAAACCCAGCAACAAUGGUCUGAGCUACAACAUGAUCUGGCAGUCUAUUGUUUAAUUUAUAGGCUGUACUAACCAUGGUCAUUUCUUGAAGCUUAGUGAGUAUGUUAUACUCGGUCAUACCGUCUAUGUUCCAUUCAUAGAUAGUACCACUGGUGUAUGAGGCUUGAGUAUACUGAUUUCUUUCCUCAAACUGCAUGUCAGGAAAAAUAGGUCUAGGAUAGUAAUUCCUAGUCUUAAAGGUUUCGAAAUUGUUAAUAAUUUGAUCAUGGGGUUCCUCAAACAUCUUAAUUAGUUCAUCAGCUUCUUCUUCUGAACUAAUAUCACCUUUAACCAUAUUGAUUCUCUUAUCAGGCUGAACAGUCAAAGGGGCAACAAGAUUAUCCUUAAUCUUCUGAUUAAUCCUAUCAAUAAAAGCUUGGUUGAAUUGGGGAUUUUCUUAGAAAUCCUUAGAGAAUUCAUAUGGCUUAUUUUCAUUAUUACUACUGGUAACCUUUAUACGCUUAAAGGGAUAAUCUGGAUAUUCCUCUUGUUUGAAGAGUUCAAACCAAAUCCAAAACUUAAUAUUUUUCUUUUCUUGUCUUAGGUAGGCAUAGAAUUCUUCUUGGUAAAUGGUUCUAAUGACUUUAGGGAUAGUGCUAAAGAACCAAUCAUUUCUUUGCUUAUUGACUUCAGAAUAGAAGUCCUUUCUUAAGAGAUCCUUGUUGAUCUCAAAGUCCUCAUCACUUAGGCUUAUUGUGUUAAUCAUCUGGGAAUAGGUAGGAGACAUAACAGGGGACUCAUCUUGUUGGGAUUCCUGAGUAGACUCAUUUUCUUCACUGUAAAAUGGUCUAGCCACGUUGGUGUGAUUUCUAAUACCUGUUAGCUUAAUGUUCUUAGGAUUUCCUGAGCUGUAACCUUCUUCUUCCCUAGUAGUUCUAACUGGGAUGGAAGAGCUUGAAGCUCUAGAGGGUUCAUAAACAGAAACUCUAGGGCUGCUGGAGUGUCUGAAAGAUUUGGAGAAGACCAGUUCUCCUCCUCCAUCUGGAUAUUGAACUAUUUGUUCAAUACUUUCAGAACGCUGUGCUAUGGCUGGAACAGCAUUAGAAAAAUGCCAAUUUUCAGGGAAAUCAACAUCUUUCCACAAGAUCUUCUUGGGGAUGAUGAAAUCUGACUUAUCUAGCAUAUCUGAGUGAAAAUAGGUGGUCUCACCUUUAGGACUGGUACAAAGAGCCCCAGAUCCAACGCUUGUGUUCAUGCUCUUAUAGGCAAACCUGGUUAUGAUAGAAACAGGAUUGUUUCCUGGUUUGAUCUUAAAGCCAUGGGUCUUAAUAUGCAGGACAACGGAAUCUAAGAUGUCUGCAUCUCUUAUUCUAACUGUGAAGUUAGGAUAGCACUGGAAAUAGACUGGGCCAUCAUUCAGUCCAGCUUGGACUACGCCUAUAAUAGAAUCUCGAUAUUCGAGAUGUCUAUUAUCCCUUAAACACAUGACAAUAGAGGUGUUUAAACCUAAUCUUGUCAAAGGCUUAGCUGCUACUUGAAUCAUACCAAAGUGUAUGAAAUUAUAGCCAUCUUUCUUAUGCUUAUCAAUGGAUCUGUUAUCUAGAAGUCUUAUGACUUGGUCGUCUUGUUCUAAGCUGACUGACAUUUCAGAGGUCUUAAUGGUAUAAUAUGUGAAGAACUUAAAGGUUCAUUUCUUAUAAAUUUCUUGAUUAGACACCUUGGGUAACAUCCAAUCAUCUAAAUCAUUUUGGAUCUUAGGAUAAUUGAUCUCUUCACUGUUUACAACAGUAUCUUGAGAAUCACUGGAUCUCCUAGACAUGGUUCGGAAAAUUGAACUCAUUUUAGGGUUUUUGAACUAGAGCCUAAUAGCAGAUUGACAGACCUUAUGAGACGUCACCCCAACCCUCUUACAGCCUAACAAACGCCUAUCCACGGCUAACAACGGCUCAACCGGCAGGGCUCGCGCUCCCAGGCACACUGCUACCUAUCCUAGGAUAGGCCAAGAACACCCAAAACAAGACCCAACUUCCCUCGCACAUGGCUCUGAUACCAUAGACACCCAGGACAAGGUCAUGUGCAAUGAACAAAUGAAUUAUGCCAUGAUUCAAAACAAAGAAGAGGGUUAGAAAUCAAACAAGAUAUCCAACAAGAAAUUUAAAGAAAAUGAACCAAAAACUUGUUAGUUCAUAAUAAGCUUAAAACCGACCAUGUAGGCGGUACAAAAUAAAAAACAUAAACUUAAAAAUUUUAAUUAAAACCGACCAUGUAGGCUGUAUAAGAACAUAAAAUAAAAUGAAAAACAAAACAUAAUUAAAAACCAUCCAUAUAGGAGGUAAUCAAAACAUACUUAUAUUAUACAUAAGGAGAAAUAUCUUACAAUGGACAGGGGUAGGAAAGCUUGAAGGGUUUACAUGAUGAGAGAGAAAGAAGAGAGUAGGUAGAGCUUCAGCUUAGGAGAGAAAAUUCAAGUGUUCUUACAAAUGAGGACCUUGCCUCCUUAAAUAGGCAAAAAAAGAAUCUUGAAUAGUAAUCAUGAACAGUAGACCCGUGCUUGAAUAGUGAAUAGUGAAUAGUGAAUAGUAAGAUUCACUUUUAUACCGAAAACCCCCAAAAACCCUUUUUCGGCUAAGAAGACUUCUGGCAGGUUGCUUUAUACUGUGUAGACGAAUGCUUGCUGCUUUUGGUACAGAAACUACAAAGCUUGUAAAAUAUUCUUGUUGACCGGUCAUCAUGAGAAAUCCUUACGAUGAUCUUCAAGAAGCUUAAUAUCUUCAGUACUAGCCAUGGUUGGAAGAGGGUGUAACUUCUUGCCACAGAAAAUUAGAUGACAAGAAUCUGCAGCAAUAAGAUGUCCCAUAUUUCUUGGAAAAGCCUCAAAAUCCCUGCAAAUAAUUCUGGCUCUCCAGUGUUUGAUUUGCUUAAUAAUGGAUUCAGCACAAAUAUCAGAAAAUAACAGAGGGUAAGACAGCCGAGUAGGUCUCCUAUUCAGAUAGUGAAGAGAAACAAUUUGUUGACCUGGAAUAAGCUUGCCACUAGAAACCCACUCAGGAGUUUUGCUGAUGAUGAUGGCUUCUGCGAAUUUCUUAUUUAUUUUAAAUCCUUGGGUUAGGCUAAGAGCAAUUUUUCUUCCAAACUGGGAAACUUGGUUGGGAUCAGAACAGAUGAUUUGAUGGACUAGACCAUGGUCCAGAAGCUUUUCUGGAGUUAAUAAUAAAUCUUCACCCUUGAAUUGAUGCUGAUUGGUGAAUAGUAUUGCAAGUCCAAGCAAACACGACUGAUUGUGAAAUUUCUGUUGCAGUUGCAAAUCAACUUCUUGAUGCCUUUUUGGUACUGGAAAGGUUCUUCAAUUAUUCUGCAAAUUUUUGAAUCAUCAACUUUCUUCUCAGUAACCAAGCUUAAACCUGGGACCUUAAGACCAAUAUUGGUGGAAAGAUAGAAAUUUAUAAGAAAGGAACCUUUAAGUUCUUCACAGAUUAUACCAUUAAGACCUCUGAAAUGUCAGUCAGCUUAGAACAAGACGACCAAGUCAUAAGACUUCUAGAUAACAAAUCCAUUGAUAAGCAUAAGAAAGAUGGCUAUAAUUUCAUACACUUUGGUAUGAUUCAAGUAGCAGCUAAGCCUUUGACAAGAUUAGGUUUAAACACCUCUAUUGUCAUGUGUUUAAGGGAUAAUAGGCAUCUCGAAUAUCGAGACUCUAUUAUAGGCGCAGUCCAAGCUGGACUGAAUGAUGGCCCAGUCUAUUUCCAGUGCUAUCCUAACUUCACAGUUAGAAUAAGAGAUGCAGACAUCUUAGAUUCCGUUGUCCUGCAUAUUAAGACUCAUGGCUUUAAGAUCAAACCAGGAAACAAUCCUGUUUCUAUCAUAACCAGGUUUGCCUAUAAGAGCAUGAACACAAGCGUUGGAUCUGGGGCUCUUUGCACCAGUCCUAAGGGUGAAACCACUUACUUUCACUCAAAUAUGCUAGAUAAGUCAGACUUCAUCAUCCCCAAGAAGAUUUUGUGGAAAGAUGUUGAUUUCCCUGAAAAUUGGCAUUUUGUUAAUGCUGUUGCAGCCAUAACAACGUUCUGAAAGUAUUGAACAAAUAGUUCAACAUCCAGAUGGAGGAGGAGAACUAGUCUUCUCCAAAUCUUUCAGACAUUCCAGUAGCCUUAGAGUUUCAGUUUAUGAACCCUUUAGAGCUUCAAGUUCUUCCAUUCCAGUUAGAACCACUAGGGAAGAAGAAGGAUCCAACUCAGGAAAUCCUAAGAACAUUAAGCUAACAGGUGUUAGAAGUCACACCAACGUGGCUAGACCAUUUUACAGAGAAGAAAAUGAGUCUACUCAGGAAUCCCAACAGGAUGAGUCCCCUGUUAUGUCUCCUACCUAUUCCCAGAUGAUUAACACAAUAAACCUAAGUGAUGAGGACUUUGAAAUCAACAAGGAUCUCUUAAGAAAAGACUUCUAUUCUGAAGUCAAUAAGCAAAGAAAUGAUUGGUUCUUUAGCACUAUCCCUAAAGUCAUUAGAACCAUUUACCAAGAAGAAUUCUAUGCCUACUUAAGACCAGAAAAGAAAAAUAUUAAGUUUUGGAUCUGGUUUGAACUCUUCAAACAAGAGGAAUAUCCAGAUUAUCCCUUUAAGAGUAUAAAGGUUACCAGUAGUAAUAAUGAAAAUAAGCAAUAUGAAUUCUCUAAGGAAUUCCAAGAAAAUCCCCAAGUCAACCAAGCUUUUGUCGAUAGGAUUAAUCAGAAGAUUAAGGAUAAUCUUGUUACUCCUUUGACUGUUCAGCCUGAUAAGAGAAUCAAUAUGGUUAAAGGUGAUAUUAGUUCAGAAGAAGAAGCUGAUGAACUAAUUAAGAUGUUUGAGGAACCCCAUAAUCAAAUUAUUAAUAACUUGGAAGCCUUUAAGACUAGGAAUUACUAUCCUAGGCCUACUUUUCCUGACAUGCAGUUUGAGGAAAGAAAUCAGUAUACCCAAGCCUCAUACACCAGUGGUACUAUCUAUGAAUGGAACAUAGACGGUAUGACCGAGUAUAACAUACUCACUAAGCUUCAAGAAAUGACCAUGGUAAGUACAGCCUAUAAGUUAAACAAUAGACUGCCAGAUCAUGCUGUAGCUCAGACCAUUGUUGCUUGGUUUACAGGUCAGCUUAAGGGUUGGUGGGAUAAUUAUCUCACUUUUGAUGAUAGGAAUAGUAUCCUUAAUAGGAUUAAUGAGAGUAAUGAAGUUGUUAAGGACAAAGAUGGCCAAGAUAUUGAGGAUGCAGUGGCUACUUUAAUCUAUUCAAUAUCCAAGCACUUCAUCGGAGAUCCUGCAAAAAUUAAGGAUAAAACUGCAGAUCUCUUAACCAAACUUAAGUGUCCCAAGCUUCAUGAUUUUAGGUGGUAUAAGUCUUCCUAACCAAAGUCAUGCUAAGGUCAGAUUGUAACCAGUCUUUUUGGAAAGAAAAAUUCAUCUCAGGAUUACCCAAGCUUUUCUCUGAGAGAAUUAGGAUCAAGAUAAGGGAACAGUAUAAUGGUCAAAUCCCUUAUGAUAAGCUAACCUAUGGUGAGAUUAUAAGCAUUGUCACAGCUGAAGGGAUUAAGUUGUGCAAUGACUUCAAGCUUAAGCAACAGAUGAAGAAUGAACAAAAAAUCUACAAGAAUGAAUUUGGAUCAUUCUGUAGCCAGUUUGGUUUCAGCCAAAAGGAAACUAUGCCUCCCUCUAAGCAAAAACCAAGCAGGAAGCCUAGCAAAGAUAAGUUUUACCACAGUAAGAGAGGUACCUAUGACAACUAUAGGAUGAAUGAUACUAAGCAGUCAAGGCACGUCCAAAGAAGGGUCAACAAAGAUACCCAGAAAAAGGUAGAAACUCCUUUAGAUGUCAAGCCAAUUAUCUGUUUUAAAUGUGGCAAAGUUGGUCAUUAUAAGAAAGAUUGUAGAGUUAAGCAAAAGAUUAAUAACUUAAGUGUUUCAGAUGACCUAAAAAAUAUGCUUUGUAAGGUAAUAUUAAACUCCUCAGAUUCUGAAUCAAGGACUGAUUCAGAUAAUGAAGAUGAUAUUAAUCAACUAGAUAGCAGUGACGAUGUUUCUAGCCAAUCUUCUAGUGACCAAGAUGUUUGUAUUAAGGGUAAUUGUAAUUGUCGUCCUAAAACCAUAAAUGUCAUAAGCCAAGAUCAGGAAUUCAUCUUAGAUACUUUAAGAAAAGUUGAAGAUGAAAAGACUAAGCAGAAUCUUUAUGAAGUUUUUAAGAAAUAUGUUGUUAAGGUAGAAGCCAAGAAGACUGUUAAUCCUUAUAACCUUCACGAUAUCUUAAACAGGUUUGACCAGCAGUCUCCCAAGGAUGUCAGCAUUAAGGAACUUCAUGAAGAAGUUAAGCAGCAUAAAAAGGAGAUUAAGGAGUUAAGACAAUUCAUAAGUCUAGGUCUCUCUAAUCUCCAAGAUCAAAUCAAUAGAAUUGGCAACCAAGAAAUCCAUAUGGAUAUUCCAGAAUCUUCUCAUGUUAAUGAUAAUGAGACAGAUACUUUUUUGAAUACUGUGAGUAGGGUUAUCUUCCAGAGGUGGGAAGUCUCCCUUACUAUAGUAGUCAAAGAUAAAUUUGUCUUUGAUAUUAUUGCUUUGAUUGAUUCAGGAGCAGCUGAAAAUUGCCUUCAAGAAGGUCUUGUACCUAUUCCUUUAUGCGAAGAGACUUGUUAGUCUCUAUUUGGAGCCAAUGGCAAAAGACUUGCCAUUAAGUAUAAAUUAAUAGAUGUUCAUAUCCGUAACCAUGACGUCUGUAUUAAGCAAACCUUUAUCCUUGUUAAGGAUCUUAAUGAAAAAGCCCUUCUAGGAAUACCCUUCUUAAGCUCUAUUUAUCCCUUGUGGGUAGAUAACCAAGGUAUAAGAACAAAGCUUUUUGAUAAGGAAAUUCUUUUUGAAUUUGCUAAUCCAACUGUAAGCAUCACUCCUUUUAACCAAGAAAUUAACCUUGUUAGGUUAGAUGUCCCAAGUAAGCUAAUAGGCAACCAGUUCAUGCAUAAUGACAUUUUAAGCAUUUCUUUAUGCAUUUCAAAAUUUCAAAUUGGGAUUUUGAAUCAAGAAUUUUUAUUAAAAAUUAUUUUCAAAGAUUUUGAAAAAAUUAAAUAUAUAACUUUUAAGUAUGAUUUAAUUAACUGGUAUAUUAUUUUAAAAUCUAAGUUUCAAAGUUACUUUAUUAAAGGAGAUUAUUUCAACCCUAAUCAGCUAUCUCGUGAAUUUUGCAGGGUUCAUGAGAUCAUGGCCCCUAAAAAGAAUACCCAAGCUUCUAGCUCUCACAAACCCUCAUCUAGUCAAGCUAACCAAUCUCCUUCUACCCAUAAAAUGCUUUGGAGUCAACAAGUUGAAGAGGAAGAAGCACAACUUUUGGCAAAGCUUCAUUCUUCUAAACCUAUGCAUGAAUCCAACCAUAUGCCUAACAAAAUGUUGACCUUAUACUAUGAUCCUUCUGAUCAUUCUAAACCAGUUAAGGCAACACAAUAUCUAGCUACCUCAGGGUCUCAGACCUUUAAGCAGGUUACUAUGGCUAAUCCCUCUUAAAAGGAAUUAGCAACAAGCUCUUCUUUUUCAAGCAAACAAAUUGUGGUGGCUGCCAACCCCACACCUCUUUCAACAAAAUCAAGAUAUUGGCAAAAUGAUUUAAAUCAAUCUCUUUUAGUUAUUGAAAGAGAAUUUUUCUCGAAAAACCCCAGAGAGAUUGCUGCAAAAGCAUUUCAAGAAAAUUUUCAUUAUCCCUCUAGUGAUAUUUUAAAAACAAGAGAGUUUUAUGAAGCAGUCCUUAUAGAAACUGGUUCUGUUAAGAUCAAGCAUAACGCUGAUAAAUUCAGCAAUAUGGGCUUGGCAUUCUCCACCUGCCAUAUCUAUAAGAUCCUUACAGUCAAGCAAUGGGGUGAAAAUCCUAAUCUUUCAAGAGAAUUUUCUGAACCAUCUAAGCCAAGGUUUUUUAAUUAUUGGGAUUAUCAGAGAGCAUGGUUUAAUGCUUUUCUGAUCCAGAAUAGGGACUUCCAUCAUUCAUGGAUGUUCUAUUUUCCAUCUAAGAACCAGCUUUCCUCUUUCCCAUUUUGGUUCUACAGUUGGUGGACUUAUUAUGGUCCAACUAUUAAGAUUCUUCCUAAGCCCAUUCUGGAUGGCUUUGAGCUAUUCAGAAGUUCUUUUAAUAUUCCCAGAGAACUUUCAGCAUUUCCCCUUUUACUAUUCUUUUUCAGCAAUUUUGGCCUGGCUUGGAUAGUCCAGUGGGACUAUAUUAUUAUUACAGACGAAUCAGCAGCCUUUCCAUCUCUGGGAAGGACUUUUAAAACUAAAUGGUGGGAUGCAUUAAAAAAUGAUGCAUCUACUGAUGUAGUCAAGUAGUAUUUCCUCAAGAACCCCUCACAAGUCUCAGCCAGUGAUGAUAUGUCUCAGUUUCUCCUCAAAAAGCAACUGUUACAAGCCAUGCUCGCAGCAGCUAAGACCCCUCAAGAGUUUCAAAAAAUCCUUGAAGAAGGAAGCUCAAGCUUCUCCCAAGAAAAUUCUUAUGCAGAGUCUGACGAUUCAACAAGCUACCUUCCAGACAAUGGUGAUGACUGUGAAGGAAUCCUUCCUCCAAUAAGAAGAUCUAAGUAAUCAUCAGCCUUUUGUCUUCCAUCAAAAGUAUUUUACAAGCUUUGCAGUUUCUGUUCCAAAAGCAGCAAGCAUGUGUCUACACAGUAUAAAGCAGCUUGCCAGAAGUCUUCUCAGCCGAAAAGGGGGUUUCGGGGGUUUUCGGUAUAAAAGUGAAUCUUACUAUUCACUAUUCAUUAUUCAAGCACGGGUCUACUGUUCAUGGUUACUAUUCAAGAUUCCUUUUAUGCCUAUUUAAAGAGGCCCGGUCCUCAUUUGUGAAAAAACACUUGAACUUUCUCUCCUAAGCCGAAGCUCUCCCUUCUCUCUUCUUUCUCUCUCAUCAUGUAAACCCUUCAAGCUUUCAAGCUUUCUUCAAGCUUUCUUACCCCUGUCCAUUGUAAGAUAUUUCUCCUUAUGUAUAAUAUAAGUAUGUUUUGAUUGCCUCCUCUAUAGAUGGUUUUUAAUUAUGUUUUGUUUUUCAUUUUAUUUUAUGUUCUUAUACAGCCUACAUGGUCGGUUUUAAUUAAUUUUUAUUUUUAAGUUUAUGUUUUUUAUUUUGUACCGCCUACAUGGUCGGUUUUAAGCUUAUUAUGAACUAACAAGUUUUUGGUUCCUUCUCUUUAAAUUUCUUAUUGGAUAUCUUGUUUGAUUUCUAACCCUCUUCUUUGUUUUGAAUCAUGGCAUAAUUCAUUUGUUCAUUGCACAUGACCUUGUCCUGGGUGUCUAUGGUAUCAGAGCCAUGUGCGAGGGAAGUUGGGUCUUGUUUUGGGUGUUCUUGGCCUAUCCUAGGAUAGGUAGCAGUGUGCCUGGGAGCGCGAGCCCUGCCGGUUGAGCCGUUGUUAGCCGUGGAUAGGCGUUUGUUAGGCUGUAAGAGGGUUGGGGUGACGUCUCAUAAGGUUUGUCAAUAUGCUAUUAGGCUCUAGAUCAAAAACCCUAAAAUGAGUUCAAUUUUCCGAACCAUGUCUAGGAGAUCCAGUGAUUCUCAAGAUACUGUUGUAAACAGUGAAGAGAUCAAUUAUCCUAAGAUCCAAAAUGAUUUAAAUGAUUGGAAGUUACCCAAGGUGUCUAAUCAAGAAAUUUAUAAGAAAUGAACCUUUAAGUUCUUCAUAGAUUGUACCAUUAAGACCUCUGAAAUGUCAGUCAGCUUAGAACAAGACGACCAAGUCAUAAGACUUCUAGAUAACAGAUCCGUUGAUAAGCAUAAGAAAGAUGGCUAUAAUUUCAUACACUUUGGUAUGAUUCAAGUAGCAGCUAAGCCUUUGACAAGAUUAGGUUUAAACACCUCUAUUGUCAUGUGUUUAAGGGAUAAUAGGCAUCUCGAAUAUCGAGAUUCUAUUAUAGGCGUAGUCCAAGCUGGACUGAAUGAUGGCCUAGUCUAUUUCUAGUGCUAUCCUAACUUCACGGUUAGAAUAAGAGAUGCAGACAUCUUAGAUUCCGUUGUCCUGCAUAUUAAGACUCAUGGCUUUAAGAUCAAACCAGGAAACAGUCUUGUUUCUAUCAUAACCAGGUUUGCCUAUAAGAGCAUGAACACAAGCGUUGGAUCUGGGGCUCUUUGUACCAGUCCUAAAGAAGAUCUUGUGGAAAGAUGUUGAUUUCGUUGAAAAUUGGCAUUUUGUUAAUGCUGUUCCAGCCAUAGCACAGCGUUCUGAAAGUAUUGAACAAAAAGUUCAAUAUCCAGAUGGAGAAGGAGAAUUGGUCUUCUCCAAAUCUUUCAGACACUCCAGCAGCCCUAGAGUUUUUGUUUAUGAACCCUCUAGAGCUUCAAGCUCUUCCAUCCCUGUUAGAACCACUAGGGAAGAAGAAGGAUCCAGCUCAAGAAACCCUAAGAACAUUAAGCUAACAGGUGUUAGAAGUCACACCAACGUGGCCAGACCAUUUUACAGUAAAGAAAAUGAGUCUACUCAGGAAUCCCAACAGGAUGAGUCCCCUGUCAUGUCUCCUACCUAUUCCCAGAUGAUUAACACUAUAAGCCUAAGUGAUGAGGACUUUGAGAUCAACAAGGAUCUCUUAAGAAAGGACUUCUAUUCUGAAGUCAAUAAGCAAAGAAAGGAUUUGUUCUUUAGCACUGUCCCUAAGGUCAUUAGAACCAUUUACCAAGAAGAAUUCUAUGCUUACUUAAGACAAGAAAAGAAAAUUAUUAAGUUUUGGAUUUGGUUUGAACUCUUCAGACAAGAGGAAUAUCCAGAUUAUCCUUGUAAGCACAUUAACAACACCUCUACAAAAGCUAAGAUAUGGAAAACCAGUGACAACAUUGUUAUAGAAUCCAUUCAUCCUCCUGAAGCUAAGAUAGAGAAGAAUAUUAAUGGAACCAUAGUCACAGCUUCACCUUUUAAGACUAAGCCAGAGGAUAAAGGAACUGCUAGUGCAUCCGAUAUUAGAAGGAUUAUGGAACAAAUCAAUUAUACUAAUAUGUUUCUCAUAACCCUUGGAAAUCAAGUCAACAGAGUUGAGGAGAUUAUUGAAACUCAGGAUCACCUUAAGAAGCCUUUUGUUAAGAAUGAUAAUAAGCCUUUGUUUAAGCCUUUUGAAUUAUCUAAGAAAUUCCAGGAAAAUCCUCAAAUUGAUCAAGCUUUCAUUGAUAGAAUAAGCUAAAAGGUUAAAGAUAAUCUUGUUAUCCCUUAAACACCUCAACCUUCCCAUAGGAGAAUCCUUUUGGUUAAAAAGAAUAUUAGUCCAAAAGCAAAGGAUAAUGGACUAAUUAGGCUAACCAGAGAACCUUCUAUCCAAAACCCUUUUAAGGAUCAUGAUGAGAAACAAGAAAAAAGGAUUAUCCUUAAUGCCCUAACUAUUAAAGAUCUUCAAGAAGAAAUAGGGCAGUAUAAGAAGGAUAUUGAGAACCUAAGACAACCUACAAGCUCAGAAAUCCCUAUCCCUCAGGAUUAUAUCAACAGGGUAGGUUUUUACCACAGUAGUCCUAAAAAGGAAGACUUUGAAGAAGUUCUUGAAUCUUCACAAGACAAUAGUGAUAAGAUAAAUGCAUACUUAAAUACUAUUAGUAAAGUUAUCUUUCAAAGGUGGGAAGUCUCCCUUACUAUAGUAAUUAAGAAUAAAUUUAUCCUUGAUAUUAUUGCUUUAAUUGAUUCAGAUGCAGCUUUGAAUUGUCUACAAGAAAGUCUAGUACCUACCCAAUUUUAUGAGAAAACCAGGCAAGCCCUCUUUAGUGUUAAUGGUAAAAAGCUUAUUAUCAAGUACAAGCUAUCGAAUGCCCAUAUUUGUAACCAAGGCAUUUGCAUUAAGCAAACCUUCAUUCUUGUUAAAGAUCUCAAGGAGAAAGUUCUCCUUGGAGUCCCUUUCUUAAGCUCCAUCUUUCCUAUGUGGGUAGAUGAUCAAGGUAUAAGAACUAAGCUUUUAGAUAAGGAAAGUCUGUUUGAAUUUGCCAAUCCACCUGGAGAAAGAAGUAUAAACACCAUAAAAGAUCAGGUGAUUAAGGCUAAGCAAAAUCAUAUUAAUCUCUUAAAACAAGAGAUUGCUCUGGUUAGAAUAGAAGAUCAACUGAAGGUUAAGAAAACCCAAGAUGCUAUAGAAAGCCUUAAGAAUAAGAUUAUUAAGGAAGUUUGUUCUAACAUUCCUAAUGCUUUUUGGCACAGGAAGCAGCAUGAGGUAGAAUUACCCUAUGAGCCUGAUUUUAGUGAGAAAAAUAUUCCCACUAAAGCAAGACCAAUCCAAAUGAACAAGGAUUUGUUAGGCUAUUGUGAAAAAGAAAUCCAGGAUCUCAUGGAUAAGAAGUUGAUAAGAAAGUCUAAGUCCCCUUGGAGUUGUUCAGCCUUUUAUGUUCAGAAACAAGCUGAACUUGAAAGAGGAACACCUAGACUAGUCAUCAACCAUAAGCCCCUCAAUGAUGUUUUAAGAUGGAUCAGGUAUCCUAUCCCAAAUAAAAAAGACCUCCUUCAAAGAUUAGGGAUGUCCAAAGUUUUCUCUAAGUUUGACAUGAAAUCAGGAUUUUGGCAAAUCCAGAUUGCAGAAAAAGAUAGGUACAAAACAGCCUUUGUGGUCCCAUUUGGUCAUUAUGAGUGGAAUGUAAUGCACUUUGGCCUUAAGAAUGCACCUUCUGAGUUUCAAAACAUAAUGAAUGAAAUCUUUAACCAGUUUUCUGAUUUCAUUAUUGUUUACAUUGAUGAUGUUUUGAUUUACUCAGAUUCUGUUGAGCAGCAUUGGAAACAUCUCAAUAGGUUUAUUGAGACUGUUAAGAGCAAUGGUUUAAGCUUGUCAGCCACUAAGAUUAACCUCUUUCAAACUAAAGUAAGAUUCCUAGGUCAUCAUAUUCACCAAGGAACAUUCACCCCCAUUCAAAGAUAAAUUGAGUUUGCUGAUAAGUUCCCUGAUGAGAUUAAGGAUAAGAAACAAUUGCAACGUUUCCUAGGAAGCCUUAAUUAUGUGUCAGAUUUCAUACAAGAUUUAAGCCAAUUAUGUGCCCCUUUAAGACAAAGACUUAAGAAAAAUCCAGUUCCUUGGAAUGAGGAUCAUACCAAGAUUGUUAAAAUAGUAAAGUCUAGAGUCAAAACCCUACCAUGUCUCGCCUUAGCUGAUCAUAAAGCCUUUAAGAUUGUUGAGACUGAUGCUUUUGAUAUAGGUUUUGGUGGAAUUCUUAAGCAAAGAAGUAAUAAUCAAGAAUUGUUGGUUAGAUUCACUUCUGGAACUUGGAACCAUGCCCAACUCAACUACAACACCAUCAAAAAGGAAAUUUUAAGCAUCGUUUUAUGCAUUUCAAAAUUUCAAGACGAUCUUUUGAAUCAGGAAUUUUUAUUAAGAGUGGAUUGCAAAUCUGCAAAAUCAGUUUUACAAAAAGAUGUUAAAAAUAUAGCUUCUAAACAUAUUUUUGCUAGAUGGCAAGCUAUUUUAAGCAAUUUUGAUUUUCAAAUUGAGUAUAUUAAAGGAGAAAAUAACUCAAUCCCUGAUUUCCUAACUCAUGAAUUUUUGCAGGAUUCACAAGAUCAUGGCUCCCAAAAUAGAAAAGCAAUCCUUUAAGAAAUCAUCAUCUUACAUGAAACCUCAUUCAGUCUUAUCAGAAAAAUUCAAGCCUUUGUAUUAUGAUUUUGCUUCGGGAUCUCAGGGAUCUACUUCUGAUCCUAAUCCUCCUAUUCUUAAGCAUCCUUCCUCCCCUGUUGUGGAAGAAGGAAAUAUUUCUGGUUCUCUACCUUUGGUGGAAGAACCCAUCCCCUUAGACUUCUCUACUUUUGAUACUAACCCCUUAUCUGUUCAUAAGAGUAUUUGUGAUUUGCAGGCUAGGUGCAGGACCCUUGAAAAAAAGCUAGAAAUAGCUAAUUUUCACAAAAAAGAUAUAAGCCAAGCCCCUUUUUCCCCACUGGAAAUUGGUGAGAAAAAACCAUUCACCCCACUGGUGAAUGAGAAAUUAAGUAAGGAUGAGCAGGAGUGCAUUAUCUUUAGAAUGUUUCACCGAAUGAAUGAGAUCAUGUCCACUCUUAAGCCAAAUGAUAUUUAUCAGCUAAUUUGUGAAAAAGCCAAGUCCAGUGCAGAAGAAAAGCAAGUUUUUAUUUCGGCUUAUCUUCAGGAUCUGCACAUUUAUCUCUCAGCCAUUCCUGGUCUCAGUGUUCCAGGAUUAAAUUUAACCAAGGAAAUGGAAUUUGAUGGCUCAAAACUUUGCAGAAAUUGUACUGAAUCGCUUCUUCAUCAACAAGACAACAAGCCAAUUUGCAACUGCAAUAGGAAUUUCACUAUCAGCAGAGCCUGCAUUGAUCUACAGUAUUACCAACCAAUUAACCUUGCUUUCAAAGGAGAAGUUUUAAUCCUAACUCCUGAAAUGCUUCUUGAUUAUGGAUUGGUUUACCAACUUAUCUGUUCUGAUCCAAGUCAAGCUAGCAAUUUUGGCAGAAAGGUUAAUCUAAGCUUAACCCAAGGUUUUAAGUUAAACAAGAAGUUUGCUGAUGCCAUUUUUAUUAGCAAAGCUCCUGAAUGGAUUUCUAGAGGCAACGUUCUUCCAGCACAACACUAUGUUAAUCUUCAUUACCAGAAUAGAAGACCUACUCUUCUGUCCAGUCCCUUAGUUCAAACCGACAUUUGCGGAGAGCCAAUUAUUAAGCAAAUCAAGCAUUGGAGAGCCAGAGUCAUCAGCAGAGACUUUGAAGCCUACCCAAAAAACAUGGGGCAUCUCAUUGCUGCGGAUUCCCUACAUCAGAUUUUUUGCAGUAAAAAGAUUGACCCUUUACCGUUCAAAUCCACUAUUCAAGAUACUCAGCUCCUAAUGGAUCACCGCUCGGAAUAUAUUCCUCCCUGAUUAACUGAUCAGCAGUCAUUUCAGCCGAAAGCAAGCCUCCAGGUCAAAAGUCGAAAGUGCUACAGUUCCCUCUUACUGUUCACUUUUACUAUUCAAGCACUAUUCAAGCACGGGUCUAUUGUUCAUGGUUACUAUUCAAGAUUCCUUUUUUGCCUAUUUAAGGAGGCAAGGUCCUCAUUUGUAAGAACACUUGAAUUUUCUCUCCUAAGCUGAAGCUCUCCCUUCUCUCUUCUUUCCCUCUCAUCAUGUAAACCCUUCAAGCUUUCAAGCUUUCUUCAAGCUUUCAAGCUUUCUUCAAGCUUUCCUACCCUUGUCCAUUGUAAGAUAUUUCUCCUUAUGUAUAAUAUAAGUAUGUUUUGAUUGCCUCCUCUAUGGAUGGUUUUUAAUUAUGUUUUGUUUUUCAUUUUAUUUUAUGUUCUUAUACCGCCUACAUGGUCGGUUUUAAUUAAUUUUUAUUUUUAAGUUUAUGUUUUUUAUUUUGUACCGCCUACAAGGUCGGUUUUAAGCUUAUUAUGAACUAACAAGUUUUUGGUUCCUUCUCUUUAAAUUUCUUGUUGGAUAUCUUGUUUGAUUUCUAACCCUCUACUUUGUUUUGAAUCAUGGCAUAAUUCAUUUGUUCAUUGCACAUGACCUUGUCCUGGGUGUCUAUGGUAUCAGAGCCAUGUGGGAGGGAAGUUGGGUCUUGUUUUGGGUGUUCUUGGCCUAUCCUAGGAUAGGUAGCAGUGUGUCUGGGAGCGCGAGCCCUGCCGGUUGAGCCGUUGUUAGCCGUGGAUAGGCGUUUGUUAGGCUGUAAGAGGGUUGGGGUGACGUCUCAUAAGGUUUGUCAAUCUGCUAUUAGGCUCUAGUUCAAAAACCCUAAAAUGAGUUCAAUUUUCCGAACCAUGUCUAGGAGAUUCAGUGAUUCUCAAGAUACUGUUGUAAACAGUGAAGAGAUCAAUUAUCCUAAGAUCCAAAAUGAUUUAGAUGAUUGGAAGUUACCCAAGGUGUCUAAUCAAGAAAUUUAUAAGAAAGGAACCUUUAAGUUCUUCACAGAUUAUACCAUUAAGACCUCUGAAAUGUCAGUCAGCUUAGAACAAGACGACCAAGUCAUAAGACUUCUAGAUAACAGAUCCAUUGAUAAGCAUAAGAAAGAUGGCUAUAAUUUCAUACACUUUGGUAUGAUUCAAGUAGCAGCUAAGCCUUUGACAAGAUUAGGUUUAAACACCUCUAUUGUCAUGUGUUUAAGGGAUAAUAGGCAUCUCGAAUAUCGAGAUUCUAUUAUAGGCGCAGUCCAAGCUGGACUGAAUGAUGGCCCAGUCUAUUUCCAGUGCUAUCCUAACUUCACAGUUAGAAUAAGAGAUGCAGACAUCUUAGUCCGUUGUCCUGCAUUUUAAGACCCAUGGCUUUAAGAUCAAACCAGGAAACAAUCCUGUUUCUAUCAUAACCAGGUUUGCCUAUAAGAGCAUGAACACAAGCGUUGGAUCUGGGCUCUUUGUACCAGUCCUGAAGGUGAGACCACCUAUUUUCACUCAGAUAAGCUAGAUAAGUCAGAACUCAUCAUCCCCAAGAAGAUCUUGUGGAAAGAUGUUGAUUUCCCUGAAAAUUGGCAUUUUGCUAAUGCUGUUCCAGCCAUAGCACAACGUUCUGAAAGUAUUGAACAAAUAGUUCAAUAUCCAGAUGGAGAAGGAGAACUGGUCUUCUCCAAAUCUUUCAGACAUUCCAGUAGCCCUAGAGUUUCAGUUUAUGAACCCUCUAGAGCUUCAAGUUCUUCCAUUCCAGUUAGAACCACUAGGGAAGAAGAAGGAUCCAGCUCAGGAAAUCCUAAGAACAUUAAGCUAACAGGUGUUAGAAGUCACACCAACGUGGCUAGAUCAUUUUACAGUGAAGAAAAUGAGUCUACUCAGGAAUCCCAACAGGAUGAGUCCCCUGUUAUUUCUCCUACCUAUUCCCAGAUGAUUAACACAAUAAGCCUAAGUGAUGAGGACUUUGAGAUCAACAAGGAUCUCUUAAGAAAGGACUUCUAUUCUGAAGUCAAUAAGCAAAGAAAUGAUUGGUUCUUUAGCACUAUCCCUAAAUUCAUUAGAACCAUUUACCAAGAAGAAUUCUAUGCCUACUUAACACAAGAAAAGAAAAAUAUUAAGUUUUGGAUCUGGUUUGAACUCUUCAAACAAGAGGAAUAUCCAGAUUAUCCCUUUAAGCGUAUUAACAACACUAAGAGCACUGAUAAAACUAAGUCCUUUGAAUUUUCUAAGGAAUUCGAGGAAAAUCCCCAAAUCAACUAGGCUUUUGCUGAUAGGAUUAAUCAGAAGAUUAAGGAUAAUCUUGUUGCCCCUUUGACUGUUCAGCCUGAUAAGAGAAUUAAUAUGGUUAAAGGUGAUAUUAGUUCAGAAGAAGAAGCUGAUGAAUUAAUUAAGAUGUUUGAGGAACCCCACAAUCAAAUUAUUAACAACUUAGAAGCCUUUAAGACUAGGAAUUACUAUCCUAGGCCUACUUUUCCUGACAUGCAGUUUGAGGAAAGAAAUCAAUAUACUCAAGCCUCAUACACCAGUGGUACUAUCUAUGAAUGGAACAUAGACGGUAUCACCGAGUAUAACAUACUCACUAAGCUUCAAGAAAUGACCAUGGUUAGUACAGCCUAUAAAUUAAACAAUAGACUGCCAGAUCAUGCUGUAGCUCAGACCAUUGUUGUUGGGUUUACAGGUCAGCUUAAGGGUUGGUGGGAUAAUUAUCUCACUUUUGAUGAUAAGAAUAGUAUCCUUAAAGCCUAUAGGAUUAAUGAGAGUAAUGAAGUGGUUAAUGACGAAGAUGGCCAAGAUAUUGAGGAUGCAGUGGCUACUUUAAUCUACUCAAUAUCCAAGCACUUCAUUGGAGAUCCUGCAAAAAUUAAGGAUAAAACUGCAGAUCUCUUAACCAACCUUAAGUGUCCCAAGCUUCAUGAUUUUUGGUGGUAUAAGGAAGUCUUCCUAACCAAAGUCAUGCUAAGGUCAGAUUGUAACCAGUCUUUUUGGAAAGAAAAAUUCAUCUCAGGUUUACCCAAGCUUUUCUCUGAGAGAAUUAGGAUCAAGAUAAGGGAACAGUAUAACGGUCAAAUCCCUUAUGAUAAGCUAACCUAUGGUGAGAUUAUAAGCAUUGUCACAACUGAAGGGAUUAAGUUGUGAAAUGACUUCAAGCUUAAGCAACAAAUGAAGAAUGAACAAAAAAUCUACAAGAAUGAAUUUGGAUCAUUCUGUAGCCAGUUUGGUUUCAGCCAAAAAGAAACUAUGCCUCCUUCUAAGCAAAAACCAAGUAGGAAGCCUAGCAAAGAUAAAUUUUACCACAGUAAGAGAGGUACCCAUGACAACUAUAGGAUGAAUGAUACUAAGCAUUCAAGGCACGUCCAAAGAAAGGUCAACAAAGAUACCCAGAAAAAGAUAGAAACUCCUUUAGAAGUCAAGCCAAUUAUCUGUUUUAAAUAUGGCAAAGUUGGCCAUUAUAAGAAAGAUUUUAGAGUUAAGCAAAAGUUUAAUAACCUAAGUGUCUUAGAUGACCUAAAAAAUAUGCUUUGUAAGGUAUUGUUAAACUCCUCAGAUUCUGAAUCAAGGACUGAUCCAAAUAAUGAAGAUGAUAUUAAUCAACUAGAUAGUAGUGGCGAUGUUUCUAGCCAAUCUUCUAGUGACCAAGAUGUUUGUAUUAAGGGUAAUUGUAAUUGCCGUCCUAAAACCAUAAAUGUCAUAAGCCAAGAUCAGGAGUUCAUCCUAGAUACUUUAAGAAAAGUUGAAGAUGAAAAGACUAAGCAAAAUCUUUAUGAAGUUUUUAAGAAAUCUGUUGUUAAGGUAGAAGCCAAGAAGACUGUUAAUCCUUAUAACCUUAAUGAUAUCUUAAACAGGUUUGACCAACAGUCUCCCAAGGAAGUCAGCAUUAAGGAACUUCAUGAAGAAGUUAAGCAGCAUAAAAAAGAGAUUAAGGAGUUAAGACAAUUCAUAAGUCUAGGUCUCUCUGAUCUUCAAGAUCAAAUCAAUAGAAUUGGCAACCAAGAAAUCCAUAUGGAUAUUCCAGAAUCUUCUCAUGUUAAUGAUAAUGAGAUAGAUACUUUUUUGAAUACUGUGAGUAGGGUUAUCUUCCAGAGGUGGGAAGUCUCCCUUACUAUAGUAGUCAAAGAUAAAUUUGUCUUUGAUAUUAUUGCUUUGAUUGAUUCAGGAGCAGCUGAAAAUUGCCUUCAAGAAGGUCUUGUACCUAUUCCUUUAUGCGAAUAGACAAGUCAGUCUCUAUUUGGAGCCAAUGGCAAAAGACUUGCCAUUAAGUAUAAAUUAACAGAUGUUCAUAUCCGUAACCAUGACGUCUGUAUUAAGCAAACCUUUAUCCUUGUUAAGGAUCUUAAUGAAAAAGCCCUUCUAGGAAUACCCUUCUUAAGCUCUAUUUAUCCCUUGUGGGUAGAUAACCAAGGUAUAAGAACAAAACUUUUUGAUAAGGAAAUUCAUUUUGAAUUUGCUAAUCCAACUGUAAGCAUCACACCUUGUAAUCAAGAAAUUAAUCUUGUUAGAAUAGAUGAUCCACCUAAGAUAUUUGGUACCCAAUUCAUUCAUAAUCUCAUUAUAAAUGAUAUUUUCAGCAUUCUUUAUGCAUUUCAAAAUUUCAAACUGAUAUUUUGAACCAAGGAAUUUUAAAAGUGGUUUUCACAGCUGAGAAAACAAUUAAGUAUAUAGCUUUUAAGUAUAAUUUAAUUGAUUGGAUUAUUUUAAACCCUAAUUUUCAAAUUAAGCUUAUUAAAGGAGAAAGUUCCAUUCCUAAUCUCUCAACUCAUGGAAUUUGCAGGAUUCACGAGACCAUGGCCCCCAAGAAAGACAAACAACCUUUUAGGUCCAUUAAACCUACAGAUUCUAAGAAUUCUCAUUUAGUUCUUUCUGAAAAAUUCAUGCCACUUCAUUAUGGCCAUUUUGAAGUAGCAGGUUCUUCCAGCCACUUUAAUCAUCACAUUCCUUCAGCAUCCCCUAAUAGGGAUAUAGAUUCAAGCUUGGAAUCUCUACCUUUUGUGGAAGAUUCCUUCCCCAUAAAUCCAUCUUUUAGUAAUACUAACACUUUAUCUGAUUAUAUCAAUUGCAUUUUUGAAUGGCAGGGAAGGUAUGAGACCCUUGAAAGGAAACUUGAAUUAGUUGACUUUCAUAAGCUCAGGUUAAAAGCUCAAGCCUCAUUUUCCCCACUCGAAAAUGGUGAGAAUAAGCAUUCUACCCCACUGGUGAAUGAUAAAUUGAGUGAGGAAGAGUUGGGUUACCGUAUGCUAAGAAUGUAUCAUCAUAAGACAGAGAAUCUAUACUCUCUUAAGCCAGAACUACGUCUCCUAAUUUUGGAAAAGGCUAAGUCCUUAGCAGAAGAAAAACAGAUCUUCAUCUCUUCAUACCUCCAAGAUCUUCAUCUCUAUCUUUCUACCAAUAUUGGUCUUAAGGUCCUAGGUUUAAGCUUGGUUACUGAGAAGGAAGUUGAUGAUUCAAAAAUUUGCAGAAUAAUUGAAGAACCUUUCCAGUACCAAAAAGGCACCAAGAAGUUGAUUUGCAACUGCAACAGAAAUUUCACAAUCAGUCGUGUUUGCUUGGACUUGCAAUACUAUUCACCAAUCAGCAUCAAAUUCAAGGGUGAAGAUUUAUUAUUAACUCCAGAAAAGCUUCUGGACCAUGGUCUAGUCCAUCAAAUCAUCUGUACUGAUCCCAACCAAGUUUCCCAGUUUGGAAGAAAAAUUGCUCUUGGCCUAACCCAAGGAUUUAAAAUAAAUAAGAAAUUCGCGGAAGCCAUCAUCAUCAGCAAAGCUCCUGAGUGGGUUUCUAGUGGCAAGCUUAUUCCAGCUCAACACAUUGUUGCUCUUCACUAUCAGAAUAGGAGACCUACUCGGCUGUCUUACCCUCUGUUAUUUUAUGAUAUUUGUGCUGAAUCCAUUAUUAAACAAAUCAAACACUGGAGAGCCAUAAUUAUUUGCAGGGAUUUUGAGGCUUUUCCAAGAAAUAUGGGACAUCUUAUUGCUGCAGAUUCUUGUCAUCAAAUUUUCUGUGGCAAGAAGUUACACCCUCUUCCAACCAUGGCUAGUACUGAAGAUAUUAAGCUUCUUGAAGAUCAUCGUAAGGAUUUCUCAUGAUGACCGGUCAACAAGAAUAUUUUACAAGCUUUGCAGUUUCUGUACCAAAAGCAGCAAGCAUGCGUCUACACAGUAUAAAGCAGCCUGCCAGAAGUCUUCUCAGCCGAAAAAGGGUUUUUGGGGGAUUUCGGUAUAAAAGUGAAUCUUACUAUUCACUAUUCACUAUUCACUAUUCAAGCACAGGUCUACUGUUCAUGGUUACUAUUCAAGAUUCCUUUUUUGCCUAUUUAAGGAGGCAAGGUCCUCAUUUGUAAGAACACUUAAAUUUUCUCUCCUAAGCUUAUGCUCUCCCUUCUCUCUUCUUCUCUCUCAUCAUGUAAGCCCUUCAAGCUUUCAAACUUUCUUCAAGCUUUCCUACUCUUGUCCAUUGUAAGAUAUUUCUCCUUAUGUAUAAUAUAAGUAUGUUUUGAUUACCUCCUAUAUGGAUGGUUUUGUUUUUAUUUUAUGUUUUUAUGCCUCCUACAUGGAUGGUUUUAAUUAAGUUUUGUUUUUCAUUUUAUUUUAUGUUCUUGUACUGCCUACAUGGUCGGUUUUAAUUAAGCUUUGUUUUUAAGUUUAUGUUUUUCAUUUUAUACCGCCUACAUGGUCGGUUUUAAGCUUAUUAUGAACUAACAAGUUUUUGGUUCCUUUUCUUUAAAUUUCUUUGUUGGAUAUCUUUUGUAUUUUCUAACCCUCUUCUUUGUUUUGAAUCAUGGCAUAAUUCCUGUUUUCAUUGCAUAUGACCUUGUCCUGGGUGUCUAUGGUAUAAGAGCCAUGUGGGAGGGAAGUUGAGUCUUGUUUUGGGUGUUCUUGGCCUAUCCUAUGAUAGGUAGCAGUGUGCCUGGGAGCGCGAGCCCUGCCAGUUGAGCAGUUGUUAGCCGUGGAUAGGCGUUUGUUAGGCUGUAAGAGGGUUGAGGUGACGUCUCAUAAGGUCUGUCAAUCUACUAUUAAGCUCUAGUUCAAAAACCCUAAAAUGAGUUCAAUUUUCCGAACCAUGUCUAGGAGAUCCAGUGAUUCUCAAGAUACUGUUGUAAACAGUAAAGAGAUCAAUUAUCCUAAGAUCCAAAAUGAUUUAGAUGAUUGGAAGUUACCCAAGGUGUCUAAUCAAGAAAUUUAUAAGAAAAGAACCUUUAAGUUCUUCACAGAUUAUACCAUCAAGACCUCUGAAAUGUCAGUCAGCUUAGAACAAGACGACCAAGUCAUAAGACUUCUAGAUAACAGAUCCAUUGAUAAGCAUAAGAAAGAUGGCUAUAAUUUCAUACACUUUGGUAUGAUUCAAGUAGCAGCUAAGCCUUUGACAAGAUUAGGUUUAAACACCUCUAUUGUCAUGUGUUUAAGGGAUAAUAGGCAUCUCGAAUAUCGAGAUUCUAUUAUAGGCGCAGUCCAAGCUGGACUGAAUGAUGGCCCAGUCUAUUUCCAGUGCUAUCCUAACUUCACAGUUAGAAUAAGAGAUGCAGACAUCUUAGUCCGUUGUCCUGCAUAUUAAGACUCAUGGCUUUAAGAUCAAACCAGGAAACAGUCUUGUUUCUAUCAUAACCAGGUUUGCCUAUAAGAGCAUGAACACAAGCGUUGGAUCUGGGACUCUUUGCACCAGUCCUAAGGGUGAAAUCACUUACUUUCACUCAGAUAUGCUAGAUAAGUCAGACUUCAUCAUCCCCAAGAAGAUUUUGUGGAAAGAUGUUGAUUUCCCUGAAAAUUGGCAUUUUGCUAAUGCUGUUCCAGCCAUAGCACAGCGUUCUGAAAGUAUUGAACAAAUAGUUCAAUAUCCAGAUGGAGGAGGAGAACUGGUCUUCUCCAAAUCUUUCAGACAUUCCAGUAGCCCUAGAGUUUCAGUUUAUGAACCCUCUAGAGCUUCAAGUUCUUCCAUUCCAGUUAGAACCACUAGGGAAGAAGAAGGAUCCAGCUCAGGAAAUCCUAAGAACAUUAAGCUAACAGGUGUUAGAAGUCACACCAACGUGGCUAGACCAUUUUACAGUGAAGAAAAUGAGUCUACUCAGGAAUCCCAACAGGAUGAGUCCCCUGUUAUGUCUCCUACCUAUUCCCAGAUGAUUAACACAAUAAGCCUAAGUGAUGAGGACUUUGAGAUCAACAAGGAUCUCUUAAGAAAGGACUUCUAUUCUGAAGUCAAUAAGCAAAGAAAUGAUUGGUUCUUUAGCACUAUCCCUAAAGUCAUUAGAACCAUUUACCAAGAAGAAUUUUAUGCCUACUUAAGACAAGAAAAGAAAAAUAUUAAGUUUUGGAUCUGGUUUGAACUCUUCAAACAAGAGGAAUAUCCAGAUUAUCCCUUUAAGCGUAUAAAGGUUACCAGUAGUAAUAAUGAAAAAAAGUGAUAUGAAUUCUCUAAGGAAUUCCAAGAAAAUCCCCAAGUCAACCAAGCUUUUGUCGAUAGGAUUAAUCAGAAAAUUAAGGAUAAUCUUGUUACUCCUUUGACUGUUCAGCCUGAUAAGAGAAUCAAUAUGGUUAAAGGUGAUAUUAGUUCAGAAGAAGAAGCUGAUGAACUAAUUAAGAUGUUUGAGGAACCCCAUAAUCAAAUUAUUAACAACUUGGAAGCCUUUAAGACUAGGAAUUACUAUCCUAUGCCUACUUUUCCUGACAUGCAGUUUGAGGAAAGAAAUCAGUAUACCCAAUCCUCAUACACCAGUGGUACUAUCUAUGAAUGGAACAUAGACGGUAUGACCGAGUAUAACAUACUCACUAAGCUUCAAGAAAUGACCAUGGUAAGUACAGCCUAUAAGUUAAACAAUAGACUGCCAGAUCAUGCUGUAGCUCAGACCAUUGUUGCUGGGUUUACAGGUCAGCUUAAGGGUUGGUGGGAUAAUUAUCUCACUUUUGAUGAUAGGAAUAGUAUCCUUAAAGCCUAUAGGAUUAAUGAGAGUAAUGAAGUUGUUAAGGACGAAGAUGGCCAAGAUAUUGAGGAUGCAGUGGCUACUUUAAUCUACUCAAUAUCCAAGCACUUCAUCGGAGAUCCUGCAAAAAUUAAGGAUAAAACUGCAGAUCUCUUAACCAACCUUAAGUGUCCCAAGCUUCAUGAUUUUUGGUGGUAUAAGUCUUCCUAACCAAAGUCAUGCUAAGGUCAGAUUGUAACCAGUCUUUUUGGAAAGAAAAAUUCAUCUCAGGUUUACCCAAGCUUUUCUCUGAGAGAAUUAGGAUCAAGAUAAGGGAACAGUAUAACGGUCAAAUCCCUUAUGAUAAGCUAACCUAUGGUGAGAUUAUAAGCAUUGUCACAGCUGAAGGGAUUAAGUUGUGUAAUGACUUCAAGCUUAAGCAACAGAUGAAGAAUGAACAAAAAAUCUACAAGAAUGAAUUUGGAUCAUUCUGUAGCCAGUUUGGUUUCAGCCAAAAGGAAACUAUGCCUCCCUCUAAGAAAAAACCAAGCAGGAAGCCUAGCAAAGAUAAGUUUUACCACAGUAAGAGAGGUACCUAUGACAACUAUAGGAUGAAUGAUACUAAGCAGUCAAGGCACGUCCAAAGAAGGAUCAACAAAGAUACCCAGAAAAAGGUAGAAACUCCUUUAGAUGUCAAGCCAAUUACCUGUUUUAAAUGUGGCAAAGUUGGCCAUUAUAAAAAAGAUUGUAGAGUUAAGCAAAAGAUUAAUAAUUAAGUGUCUCAGAUGACCUAAAGAAUAUGCUUUGUAAGGUAAUGUUAAACUCAGAUUCUGAAUCAGGGACUGAUUCAGAUAAUGAAGAUGACAUUAAUCAACUAGACAGUAGUGGUGAAGUUUCCAGCCAAUCUUCUAGUGACCAAGAUGUUUGUAUUAAGGGUAAUUGUAAUUGCCGUCCUAAAACUAUAAAUGUCAUACGCCAAGAUCAGGAGUUUAUCCUAGAUACUUUAAGAAAAGUUGAAGAUGAAAAGACUAAGCAAAAUCUUUAUGAAGUUUUUAAGAAAUCUGUUGUUAAAGUAGAAGACAAGAAGACUGUUAAUCCUUAUAACCUUAAUGAUAUCUUAAACAUGUUUGACCAACAGUCUCCCAAGGAAGUCAGCAUUAAGGAACUUCAUGAAGAAGUUAAGCAGCAUAAAAAGGAGAUUAAGGAGUUAAGACAAUUCAUAAGUCUAGGUCUCUCUGAUCUCCAAGAUCAAAUCAAUAGAAUUGGCAACCAAGAAAUCCAUAUGGAUAUUCCAGAAUCUUCUCAUGUUAAUGAUAAUGAGACAGAUAUUUUUUUUGAAUACUGUGAGUAGGGUUAUCUUCCAGAGGUGGGAAGUCUCCCUUACUAUAGUAGUCAAAGAUAAAUUUGUCUUUAAUAUUAUUGCUUUGAUUGAUUCAGGAGCAGCUGAAAAUUGCCUUCAAGAAAGUCUUGUACCUAUUCCUAUAUGCGAAGAGACUAGUCAGUCUCUAUUUGGAGCCAAUGGCAAGAGACUUUCCAUUAAGUAUAAAUUAACAGAUGUUAAUAUCCGUAACCAUGACGUCUGUAUUAAGCAAACCUUUAUCCUUGUUAAGGAUCUUAAUGAAAAAGCCCUUCUAGGAAUACCCUUCUUAAGCUCUAUUUAUCCCUUGUGGGUAGAUAACCAAGGUAUAAGAACAAAGCUUUUUGAUAAGGAAAUUCAUUUUGAAUUUGCUAAUCCAACUGUAAGCAUCACACCUUGUAACCAAGAAAUUAAUCUUGUUAGAAUAGAUGACCCACCUAAGAUAUUUGGUACCCAAUUCACUCAUAAUCUCAUUAUAAAUGAUAUUUUCAGCAUUCCUUUAUGCAUUUCAAAAUUUCAAACUGAUAUUUUGAACCAAGGAAUUUUAAAAGUUGUUUUCACAACUGAGAAAACAAUUAAGUAUAUAGCUUUUAAGUAUAAUUUAACUGAUUGGAUUAUUUUAAACCCUAAUUUUCAAAUUAAGCUUAUUAAAGGAGAAAGUUCCAUUCCUAAUCUCUCAACUCAUGGAAUUUGCAGGAUUCACGAGACCAUGGCCCCCAAGAAAGACAAACAACCUUUUAGGUCCAUUAAACCUACAGAUUCUAAGAAUUCUCAUUUAGUUCUUUCUGAAAAAUUCAUGCCACUUCAUUAUGGCCAUUUUGAAGUAGCAGGUUCUUCCAGCCACUUUAAUCAUCACAUUCCUUCAGCAUCCCCUAGUAGGGAUAUAGAUUCAAGCUCGGAAUCUCUACCUUUUGUGGAAGAUUCCUUCCCCAUAAAUCCAUCUUUUAGUAAUACUAACACUUUAUCUGAUUAUAUCAAUUGCAUUUUUGAAUGGCAGGGAAGGUAUGAGACCCUUGAAAGGAAACUUGAAUUAGUUGACUUUCAUAAGCUCAGGUUAAAAGCUCAAGCCUCAUUUUCCCCACUCGAAAAUGGUGAGAAUAAGCAUUCUACCCCACUGGUGAAUGAUAAAUUGAGUGAGGAAGAGUUGGGUUACCGUAUGCUAAGAAUGUAUCAUCAUAAGACAGAGAAUCUAUACUCUCUUAAGCCAGAACUACGUCUCCUAAUUUUGAAAAAGGCUAAGUCCUCAGCAGAAGAAAAACAGAUCUUCAUCGCUUCAUACCUCCAAGAUCUUCAUCUCUAUCUUUCUACCAAUAUUGGUCUUAAGGUCCCAGGUUUAAGCUUGGUUACUGAGAAGGAAGUUGAUGAUUCAAAAAUUUGCAGAAUAAUUGAAGAACCUUUCCAGUACCAAAAAGGCAUCAAGAAGUUGAUUUGCAACUGCAACAGAAAUUUCACAAUCAGUCGUGUUUGCUUGGACUUGCAAUACUAUUCACCAAUUAGCAUCAAAUUCAAGGGUGAAGAUUUAUUAUUAACUCCAGAAAAGCUUUUGGACCAUGGUCUAGUCCAUCAAAUCAUCUGUUCUGAUCCCAACCAAGUUUCCCAGUUUGGAAGAAAAAUUGCUCUUGGCCUAACCCAAGGAUUUAAAAUAAAUAAGAAAUUCGCGGAAGCCAUCAUCAUCAGCAAAGCUUCUGAGUGGGUUUCUAGUGGCAAGCUUAUUCCAGCUCAGCACAUUGUUUCUCUUCACUAUCAGAAUAGGAGACCUACUCGACUGUCUUAUCCUCUGUUAUUUUCUGAUAUUUGUGCUGAAUCCAUUAUUAAGCAAAUCAAACACUGGAGAGCCAGAAUUAUUUGCAGGGAUUUUGAGGCUUUUCCAAGAAAUAUGGGACAUCUUAUUGCUGCAGAUUCUUGUCAUCUAAUUUUCUGUGGCAAGAAGUUACACCCUCUUCCAACCAUGGCUAGUAUUGAAGAUAUUAAGCUUCUUGAAGAUCAUCGUAAGGAUUUCUCAUGAUGACUGGUUAACAAGAAUAUUUUACAAGCUUUGCAGUUUCUGUACCAAAAGCAACAAGCAUGCGUCUACACAGUAUAAAGCAGCCUGCCAAAAGUCUUCUCAGCCGAAAAAGGGUUUUUGGGGGAUUUUCGGUAUAAAAGUGAAUCUUACUAUUCAUUAUUCACUAUUCACUAUUCAAGCACGGGUCUACUGUUCAUGGUUACUAUUCAAGAUUCCUUUUUUGCCUAUUUAAGGAGGUAAGGUCCUCAUUUGUAAGGACACUUGAAUUUUCUCUCCUAAGCUGAAGCUCUCCCUUCUCUCUUCUUUCUCUCUCAUCAUGUAAACUCUUCAAGCUUUCAAGCUUUCUUCAAGCUUUCCUACCCCUGUCCAUUGUAAGAUAUUUCUCCUUAUGUAUAAUAUAAGUAUGUUUUGAUUACCUCCUAUAUGGAUGGUUUUUAAUUAUGUUUUGUUUUUCAUUUUAUUUUAUGUUCUUAUACCGCCUAUAUGGUCGGUUUUAAUUAAUUUUUAUUUUUAAGUUUAUGUUUUUUAUUUUGUACCGCCUACAUGGUCGGUUUUAAGCUUAUUAUGAACUAACAAGUUUUUGGUUCCUUCUCUUUAAAUUUCUUGUUGGAUAUCUUAUUUGAUUUCUAACCCUCUUCUUUGUUUUGAAUCAUGGCAUAAUUCAUUUGUUCAUUGCACAUGACCUUGUCCUGGGUGUCUAAUAUAUAUAUAUAUAUAUAUAUAUAUAUAUAUAUAUAUAUAUAUAUACUUACUUUUGUAUAAGAAUUUUUAUAUUUUAUUCUAUUUUAUAAAUAAAGAUGAAAAAUGUAUCCAAACAUAUGCUAACUAAUUCUCUUUAAAAAUGCUUCUAAUGAAAAUAUGCUAACAAAUAAACUGCAAAUAAAAAUACUUUAAGCAAAUUCACUAUCAAGGGAGUCUAAGUUAUAAUAAAUAUUUUCAUCAAGAUUUAAAAGAAAUAAGGAAUUAAGGAAGAAGCUUCAAAAUGAUUUUAAUUUAAACUCAUUUCAUUUGUAAUCUUGCAAUCUCAUGCCCUAAAUGUUCCCAUUCAUCAAUUUUAUUGAUAAAAUUUUAUUAGAAUUAAUAAUUAUUAAAAAAAAUUAAAUUCAAAACCUUUUUAAAAAACCCCACUGUUUAUAUUGUAAUUUGGGUAGUCAUUUCUAAUAUAGAAGAUAUUAUCAACAUUUUAUUUAUUAUUUAUUUUCAUUUUGGUAAAAUUCUAGAAUUACGUGAAUUUUUCUUCUUAGAAUAAGAAAGAUAUAAUAAAGAAAAUGAGGGAAAGCUGAUACGCUAAAUGGAAAUAUGUGCAAUCAAUUUACAUAAAAUUAAAAUUCUGAUUAUUUUCAUUUUUAUUGUUUUUAUUUAAUCAAAAUGACAAUAAGCGGAAUGAAAAAAAAGAAAGGUGAGAAUUAAAAAUUCUUCGUGGAAAAUGCUAGCUGGUUGUACUAAUAAAGGUGAUGGUGAUGAUGAGUAGGGGGCAAUCAUUAUGUUUUCUUAUCAGAUGAGUGAUGAUCCCAAUCAGAAGGCUGACCACUUUAUUAGUGGUGAUGGUGAUAGUUUUCCACAUAUAUCAUCAUCUGUCUUGUGCAUGAUUAAAUUUUGUGGCUUAAAAAUGAGGAUUACCUAUUUACCCCUUUAGGUAGUUUUCAAGAAUUAAGAUAAAAACUUUUAAAACCAUAUCAAGUUUCAUGGUAAAAUAUCAUCAACCCCGACUUAAAUUUUAUCAAAAUAAAAAUUAUUUUUAAGUAAUAUAAAAUAGAAUAACUUUAAUAAAGGUGAUAGUGAAGAUGAUGGUGGGUACACUAAAGGUAUAAAAUUGACGACUUUUAAAGGAUUUAAGAUCUUAGAUAAGGAAAACUAUACAUCAUAUAUCAUUAUAAUUGGAUCUUUAUUCUUAUAUUUAGAUAAGAUACUUUGAUUAAAGAAAUUUAUAGUUAUGAAAAAAAAUAAAUUUUGUAACUUAAAAAUAUAAAUUACCUAUUUACUCCCUCCAAAUGGUUUCAAGAAUUAAUAAAAUCUUUUAAAAACUAUAUAGAAUUUCAUGAUAAAAUAUCAACUCUCAAGAAUGUCAAAAUACUUAAAAUUUUAUCAAAAUAAAAAUUAAUUUUCAUUAAUACAAAACAAAAAUAAACUUUUUUUUUUUUGGAUAGAAAGUGAUAAUUAAAAGAUUUUCAAUUGAAAAUAUUAUACAACGGAUGUUGAUAGAAUGUUAGCUAACAUGUUUAUGUAGGAUUUAAUUUGUGAAAAAUGGAUAAAAAUCAAUUGGCUUAUUGAUGGGACAAUUAAAAGUGUAUUCGAUAGUGAUUUUAUAAAACGUUUUUAUUCUUAAAAGUAUUUUUUUAAAAAAAAAUUAAGUUUAAAAAAACACUCUUAAAAAUAUGAAAAAUCACUUAUAAUUGAGAAAAAAACUUUUAUAAUAUUUUUCAAAAAAAUACUUAAUAGAUGAUUAUCUUAAAAACACUUUUUGAUACAAUAUUUCCGUACCGAACACAUUUCUAAUAUUGCAAAAAAAUUGUCAAUAUAUAUCAUUGAUGGACAUAGUCACAAUAAUUACAUUUCCCACAAAUUUUCUAGAAACCAAGCAUAUUAAUGGGAAUUACAAGUCGCUUGGAAUCAAAUUAAGUUACAUCUGAGGGGCAAUAAGGGAACAUGAAGCACCGUCUUCAACGAGAUGUUGAAGCCAAUACCUAUACCUUCUAAACCAACUCCUCUCUUUUGCUUCAUUCAUCAUCCCAAAGUUCUCCACAGCAUUGUUUAGGAUAUUAUGAUAUAUUUUAGGAAAGUAGUUGUUAUUGUUUAGGAUUGUUUCCUAAACUCACAGUUUUUCCUUAAUUAGGUUUGCUUGAUGUACUAUAUAUUUAGGUGGAUGAAUAUCAAUUAGGGUCAAGCUCUGACCCUUUAAUCACACUUUUCACAAUACCUAUACCUUCUAAACCAACUCCUCUCUUCUGCUUGAUUCAUCAUCCCAAAGCUCUCCACGCUCAUCAUUUCCCUCAAAACUAGUUAUUAAUCCUCUUUGACAAAACCAUGGGCAACAUUUUCUCCGUCGAAAUCUCCGUUAACCACGCUAUCUCUAGUUGCUGGAAUCGCACUACUGAACAUGCAAAUUACCUGUGCAAACUCCCAGAAAAUCUGGUAGCUCUGGGAACUGCUUGUAAAAGAUUGGGGGAGUUCAGGAACGAUGUGAUGAGGAGGGUGGAUAUCGCUGAGAGGGAACAAAUGCAGCGGCUCGACCAAGUUCAAGGGUGGCUUUCAAGGG